rnacentral:lncRNA from 1 species
AAGAAGCGGCUAAGAAACUAAGUAGAAGCAAUACACACGCGCAAGACAUAUUCAAAAUAUUCUAAGCUUUCUUUCAUCUUGAAAUUCAUUGUGUUUACUAUAAGCUUUUUAGAAGCACUUUCUUUGUAAACAAGAACUUCAUAUACAGUUGUAUAGUUUGCCUUUAGGAGAUCAAGGUUGAUCGGAUCCUAGAGAAGACUAAGAGAGUGAAUCUUAGUGUAAGCUAAGUCAGUGUAAUUGUUAGUCACUUGUAGGUUUCAAGUGCAGUUGUAACUCUUACCUGAUUAGUGGAUUGCCUUCAUUCUAAGAAGGAAGAAAUCACCUUAACAGGUGGACUGGAGUAGCUUGAGUGAUUUAUCAAGUGAACCAGGAUAAAAUCCUUGUGUGCUUUUCUAUCUCUUAUCUUUAGCACUUAAGUUCUCGAAAGAUUUGCCAAAAUCUUUAAGGUGGAAGUCUUGUACUGAAAACGUUAUUCAAACCCCCCCCCCCUUUCUACCGUUUUUCAUACCUUCAACAAUCUCACUCUCUCUGCCAUCUCGCUCUCUCGUUCUUGCUCUCCCGAUUCAUGGAGUUUCUUCCCCCUUGAUUCAGGUACAAUCUCUUGAUUCUUUCACCAAUUUUGCAUUAUUGUUGUUGUUUUUUCGAAUUUGAUUUUGUUUUUGGAGUUGAAAUAUCUGUUUUGUUCUUGUCUUGAGUUUUGUUUGUUGAUGCCAGUACUGGGUUUGUCAUGUUUUUUGCUCCAUUUUGUGCCUGGUUCAGAAGCAGAUGAACAUAGGUGUGAACAUAGGUGUACUGGGUUUGUCAUGUUUUUUGCUCCAUUUUGUGCCUGGUUCAGAAGCAGAUGAACAUAGGUGUACUGGGUUUGUCAUGUUUUUUCUCCAUUUUGUGCCUGGUUCAGAAGCAGAUGAACAUAGGUGAGGAAGACAAUAGUUUCUAUUUUUUUACCAAAACAAUAAUUAGAGUUACAUAAGAAUUGCUCAAACUGGAUCUGCUUCCAUGGUGAUGGUCUGCUUUUGUAGGUGUAUUUCUAGAUUAGGAUGGUUUUGGGGAUAAACAAAGGGACAAAAACCCAAUACGCAGAGAAGGAGUUUGAUGAAAGAGUAAUUUUAUAGCAAGUAGCAAUAGCAUGAUAGAUAUAUAUAAUAAGGUGCAUUGCAUUCCUCAAGCAUAGAACAAAAGUAGGAGGAGUGCUCUAAAAAUGUUUAAGAAAUAUGCUUAAAUUUUCCCCUCCUCUUGUUUGCAUAUUGAUAUACUAUAUAGCACUUUCAGCUUCUCUUAGGUGUAGUUUCUGGUUUGGUUUGAAAUUAUGAACACAACUAAGCAAUCAAACUCACAGAGUGUAGUCUUUCUCUUCUUUCCUUCAGCUAAGGUUGUGGUUGAACUUGCGAAAUCCAGACUAAUCCAAGCUGCUGUGCAAUUACACCCAUCAUUUGUCUCUCUGGAUGACAUCAAUGGUAUGAAUUCUCAAUAUUUAGCAUUUCUUCUGUCUGCAUAUUUUAGUUAUUGAAAACUUCACUGUAUCUUCUAAGGAUGACUACCAAAAUUAUGUUGCAGCUUCUUGUCAUACCAUUGAAAUAGGCAAUUAGGCAUGUUCGGAAUAUAACUACAGUCCUCAGUCACUUCCUAAAUAAUCAUAUUUGUCUUCACGCUGACUUGCAGUGUUUUUUUACAGUUUCUACAUACUACUGGUUUGUCUAAUAUAUUUUCAUAACAGAUAAAUAAUAUUCUUUGUUACUGCAACUAAUAUGAACUAUAAGGGACUUGUUGCUUUCUCUUUCUCUUUUAAAAAUAUUGUUGGCAUCUUCUGGUAGGUCUGUAUCAUAAUCAUUACAUUUUUUAAAUUUGAUUUAAUGAAAGAGAAAUAGAUUUGGUAAACAUCUUAUGCUGAGCCUAAAUAUUGAGCACUUCACUUUAUAAAUGAUGUUGAAGGUUUCUGAGUCCUAGAAGCAUGUUUGUUUGAAAGAUGAGCAAACCAUAAUGAGUGUUUUUUAUGGACUGUGCUUGCAAUCUAUUUUUCUGAAGGUCAAUAAUUUGCUACACAGGGGUAUCUAUAUUUUAUUUUUGUGCUGAAAAAAUCUCUUUGCCUAUUGUCUUUUAUUACAACAGUAUACUUAACUUCUGUUGAUUUAAUUGAUUGUGCAUUGGUUCUAUUUUUAUUGGAGUUUGUUCCAUACCAAUUCAUUCAGUUGUCAUUUUUAAGCAUAUUUCUUAAGCUCCACGCUAUUAUUUAGAGAAUGUUUUAACUUAACUCUUCACAUUUUCUUAGUGAGCUUGUACACAUCCCUUGUCCUUUUUAAUCACAUCUUAUCCAUUUUAUGUUUAAACUAGCUGAUUCUGAAUCUGAUUGAGUUAGCUUCUCUUACUUCCUAUUUUCUUUAUAGUGUCAUGCGAUAUUGAUGUUUUAUUAUAUGUUUUUUUUAUAGUUAACAAAUGGAUCUUAGAGUAGUUGACACUUCAGUUCUUUUACGAAAACGUAAAAGAAAUGAAGAAGAAGAGGCAAAAUUGCAGGAGCAAAUAACAUUCAUUGUUGCUAGUGUCGUUGCUAUGCUUUUAGGUGUAGUAGCUUGGUAUCAUGAGAUGCAUUUUGUUAAGGAACCGUCCCGAAAUUGGGAAUUGGAAAGACGCAAUUUCCUUAAUCGUCUAUAUAGAGGAACUGAAAGUGAUUGCAUUGAACAAUUAAGAGUUAGUAAAAGGGCAUUUUUUAAACUUUGUGGAAUUUUACAAGAUAAAGGACAGUUGGUAAGAACAAGAAAUGUCCCAACGAUUGAAGCAGUGGCAAUGUUUUUGCACAUCCUUGCUCACAACCUAAAGUACAGAGUAGUGCACUUUACCUAUUAUAGAUCCAAAGAAACAAUUAGUAGGCAAUUCAACAAUGUCCUACGAGCUGUGAUGAAAGUGAGUGGGGAAUAUUUGAAGUUUCAAGACCAUAAUAAUCUAGAGGGCUCUGAGGCAUACAAAUGGAGAUGGUUUCAGGUAAACUUAUCACAAGCUUGAGUAAUUAUAUGAGAUUUCUAGUAAUUACAACUUAUUUAUGAUUUUUAAACUUUUUUAGAAUUCGAUUGGAGCACUUGAUGGGACACAUAUUCCAGUAACAGUGGCAGCAGAAGAUAAACCUAGAUACCGUAAUAGAAAGGGUGACAUCUCUACGAAUGUGUUAGGGGUUUGUGGUCCAGAUUUAAAGUUUAUUUACGUGUUACCUGGUUGGGAAGGCUCGGCAGGAGAUUCACGAGUAUUGCGAGAUGCUUUACGUCGUCAAAAUCACCUUCAAAUUCCGAAUGGUAAUAUUCUCAACCUUGAUACUUUUUUUACUAUAUUAAAUACAAUUAUAUGAUUUUUGUUUUCUUGGAAAAAAACCAUCGCAGGUAAAUACUUUCUGGUCGACGCAGGAUAUACAAAUGGCCCGGGAUUUUUAGCACCUUAUUGAGGGACAAGAUAUCAUCUCAAUGAGUGGAUUGGAAACACCCCUCAAAACUACAAGGAGUUGUUCAAUCUCCGUCAUGCAAGUGCAAGGAAUGUAAUUGAAAGAUCAUUUGGGAUAUUGAAAAAACGAUGAAGUAUAUUAAGAACUCCAUCUUUUUUUGAUAUAAAAACACAAAUAAGAAUGAUUAACGCUUGUUUCGUACUGCACAAUUUUAUAAGAGAUGAGCAACAAUAUGACCCAAUUUUAGAGGUCCAAGACUUGGAGCUUUUAUCGGUUGUUGAUGAAGAGUUAACCAGUCAACAUGGGGAAACAAUUACAAGUAAUGUUGCAAAUGAGGUCACAACUAUUCAAGUAUCUGAGGCAUGGACAACGUUUCGGGACACUUUAGCAAUGGAUAUGUUUGUUGAAUAUCAACAUAGGAGAAACUUAGUUUAGGGACAACAUGUUAUCAGUUGUCUUUGCUUUCUACCUUGUUUGUUGUGUCUGUUAUCUGUUUUUCCAUUUCUUAUGUUGUUUCUUGUUUAUUUCUGUAGUUGCUUUGUUCUGUUGUGUGUGUUGGCUCACUUGGAAGAGCCUUGUUUCCAAGUUUUUUAUCCUAUUAAUAUUAAUUGAAAGAUUGAUCAGAACUAACUGUGGCUUGAUUCAUCCAAUUAUUAGUUAAAUGCUUAGUAUGUUGUCUUGUAUAAGUAUAUUCUGUUUAUUUUCAGAAACAUUGUGUUUGGACGGAGGAUUGUAGAAAUCCAAGGGAUUUUAAAUUCUAGGGAAUUUAAUUGAUUCAAUUGAAUUCCCUUGAUUUUCAAAUUCCCUUGUUUGAAAUUAUUGUUUGUGAUUUUUAAUGUUAUUACUAUUUAAUUAAAUUAUUGUUUGUGUUAGUAUUAAUAUGCUGUCUAUUUUCUUUGUAGUCACAUAAUGACGCUAAGAGGUUCCGAUUUAAGGUGAUUGCUAAUUGGGAUGACAUUGUAGACUUGUGUGCUAAAGAUAGAGCAACGGGAAUUGGAGCAGAGACAUCCUUGGAUGCAGAUGACAUCAUGAGCAAAGAAGCAAAUGAGGAUGGAGCUUAUAUUGUGGAUAUUGAUGCUGAUGAACAAAGCUCUACAACAAGGAAAAGCAAACAACCAAUGGAAUUCAAAAAGGGAAAAAGUGGAGAAAAGAAUGGGAUAAUUACUUCAAUGAAUAAAGUGGCUGAGUCAUUGAGUGAAUUUGUACAAGCAACUAGAAAAGGGGUGAAAAAUGUCCAAGAAGUGGUUCAUGAUGUGAUGGAUGAGCUAAAGAACAUUCCGGACCUUAAUGGCACUCAAUGGCUAAAAGUAGUGGAUUGGCUUUCAGAAAAUCCAAAUAAGUUGGAGAUUUUGAAAGCUCUUCCCAUUGAGAGAAAGAAAGAUUACAUCUUAGCUUUUAUGCACUGAUUCGUGAUUUUCUAUAGUUUAUGGACCCAUUUGUAGUGUUUCCAACUUUCCACUAUGCCACUGUUGAGACUUUCUUUUAUUUAAUUUUCAUUUGGAUUGAUGUUAGCACUUGUUACUGUUGAGACUUUUUUUUAUUUAACUUUCAUUUGGAUUGAUGUUAGCACUUGUUACUGUUGAGACUUUCUUUUAUUUAAUUUUCAUUUGGAUUGAUGUUAGCACUUGUUAAAAACACAGUUUUAAAUUUAAAGUAAUAGGAAAUGUGAUAUCUCCAUGAAUGUAUUAGAAAUUUGUGAUCCAACUAAUUUCAGAUUUUUGAGUCAAUUCAGGGGGUUUGGGCCGAUUAUAAAAUUCUGGGUUAAUUUUAAGUUAAGUUUUUUUAUUAUAAUUAUCCAAAUAAUAUUAAUUACAUUAAAAAAAUAAGAUAAAGGAAAUUCAAUUGAUUCAAUUGAAUUCCCUAGCAUUACCCAAACAAAGAAUUUUAAAAUUGAUGGAAUUUAAUCACCUUAUCCAAACAAGGGAAUUUGAAAAUCAAGGGAAUUCAAUUGAAUCAAUUAAAUUCCCUAGAAUUUAAAAUCUCUUGGAUUUCUACAAUCCUCCGUCCAAACACAAUGUAAGAGGUUCAUGAGACCCAUGUCGCAGGCGAGUUUCUGCUUGCAGCCUACGGGGGGACACUUCCACUCGCUGGGUGUUUGUUGGUGUUCUUCGAGGGCCUUUCUACCAAGUCUCAAUAAUCGUGGCAUUUGCCGGAGAACGAGUUUGAGGGUUUCUCUGUUUCUCACCCCUUCCAUUCAGCCAGCUUUGUCUUGAGUUUCUUUUUCAUGUUAUGUUUUUGUAUUGUUUUAGUUGUAGGUGCUCACUGCUUGCCACCGUAACAUGCUUGAUGAUGGGGUUGACAUUGUAUGCACCUUGCAUUGUAUUGUUUGCUUUAGAUGAUAGAAUUAACUGGGUUGCACUGUUUGCUUCAGUUUAUGUGUUUGCUUGAUGAUGGUAUGGUUGAUUAGCUUGAGGAUUGGUUUAUCUUGAGAACCUUUGAGUUAAACCAUGCUCACCUUUUGCGGUGAAAUAUAAAGGGGAAAAAUGGGUUUUGUAUCCUAUGUUACAUUGUUUGAAGUUUACUCCCUCAUAAAGAUUGAAGCAUCUUUGCCUUUAUGUUUUCACUUUCACUAUAUCUGGUUUUUAGUUGUUUUGCUAUCAUGCAGUUUAUGAAGUUUAUUAUAAAUUUGCAGUUCUCUAUAUUUCCUUUUGAUUUUGAUUUUCAUUUUCUAUUAAAACCAAUACAGAACCUUGGGCAAGAUGGGGAAGUCCGCAAGUAGAGCUUGGAUAAAAAAAAAAACAGUUGGAAAAAUUCAGUUGGUAAUUACUCGUGUUAUUUGAAAUUUUGGGAACUCCUUGAUUUUGCUUUUACCGAUGGUUGCUAGUUGUUUGAACGUAAAUGGCCCCCUUUAAGUAUGCCUAGAAAGUGAACCUCUAUGGUUUUUGUAAAAAAGCUUCAAUUAAGAGAAUAGUAGGAAUAUCCUUUAUAUGUCUAUUUCUGCUAAAUUCAAACUGUACUGGAUAUUUUGUUUCACUUACAUGGAAUAUCAGUGGUAGAAUUUUGGUGGAAGAGUUCUCUUAAAACUCGUGUAUUGUGACUUCUAUUAGCUUGUUUUGGAAAGACAAUUUGUGUACGAACUUUGUCAAAGAGCUAAGUGGGAUAUGAUUUUGUAGCACGCAACUAAUUUACGAAAGUCUCUCCUGUGUAGAGUAAUUAACAACUUUCUCAGUUGGUGCAUCUUUGAUAGUUUAUUUUGGUUCUUGGUUCAGUACGUUUUUGGUUCUUAUAAAAACUCUUUUUUUUAGCAGUUUAAUUAUUUUGAUAUGUUAUUAACCUGCAGUCUUCACACAAAAGAGAGGUGGGAGAGGGAAUCCAGCACACAAAGAUUGGUCGGAGAGGAAAUCUAACAUGUAAAUACGACAGUGGAACAGCAGUGGGGAAUUAACGGAAGUUUGUCAACAAGAUUUUCUUUUAAAUGUGUUACUACUAAAGCCUUAAAGAAUUAUAGGAUAUCAAAACCGAAUUAAUGGAAGUUUGUCCACAAGAUUUUCUUUGAUGAGAGCAUGAAGCAGCUGGAUAGAUGUUUCAGGUGAGAAAAUGAAUCUCUACAAUGUUACAUACUACAAUUUAAUUGUUAGAGGCAACAAAGAUAGAGUUUGCUUUGAUUAUCUAAGAAGGCUUUUCAAUUUAUUGCCUUUGUAGAUGUUAUAAGAAAUGAGCUGAAGGAAUUUAAUUCUGAGAGCUAACUUGAAUCAGAAAUGAGCUGAAGCAUUUUUCUUUUGAUACAGCUUCUUGAAUCAGAAGGGAGCUGAAGCAAUUUCUUUCUUUGGUUUUGUUUGAUAAUAUAUCUUUAAAGGUAAAAGCUGAUUUCUGCUUCAAUUUAGUACAUAAUGGUGAAGUAUUUUUUUGUUGAUUUUACAGAGUGGUAGGAUUGACUAUGACUGUUUAACUUAACAAAUUAACAUAUUUUUGGGAAUUCUGUGUGUGCUUGAAUAAAAGAGGGUUUUUUUCCAUCACUCAUUUAACUGUAAGUCUCUUCACCCAUACUCUUUUAUCCUCCUUUAUGCAAAUCUUUUUCAUGUUUUUUAUGAGUUGGUCAUGAAAGAAGGUAGGGUCAUCAAUGGUGACAUAUCCUGCUAUGGUGCUGGCAAUGGCUGUUCUGAAUGCAGAAGCGAGGCAUGGUUUCGCCACUUGGCAUGUUGAAGCGAAGUGGAUGAUUUGCAGAUAAUGGUUUUGAAGACUUUAGAAUGUUGUUGAGAGCUGAAGUUAUGUUAUAUUAAUUUUAGUUAUUAGAUGUUCUGAAACAGCCUAUGAAGUCUGCAACUCCGUCAUAUGUUGUGUUAUUGAUUCCAUUAAUCUAUUAGAAGCUGAAAAUUAUUGUCUUAAUGAUAUUGAAGUUUUAAAAAUUAGAAGAAAGGAAAUAGACUUUAAAGAUGUUAAUUUGUCGCGUAUAUGCUGUCAAAAUUUAGAUUUAGUCUUAGCAUUUUAUUUUAAGUAGUUUUAUUGAUUUGAGUUAUUUCUGAGAUGUGUCUUCUUUUUGUCUUGGUUUGUAAAAUUAAAGUUUAUAUCUAUUCACAAUAGUUAUGGAACCUACUCUCGACUCCUCAAAUAUAUUGUUCACUGUUUCUAGUGGUCUACGACCAUUGGAUUCUUUUUUAUUAGAAAGGCAGAAACUUGUGGCGGUUUAACCUCCAAAAGUUGUUUAUCACCGGCAAUAAACGCUUCAGGAACAAGCAAUUUACAAACAAUCAAUUUAAUUACUCUAUACAAAAGAAGAAUUUUAGAAUUGAAGAGAAUGCUUAUUAAUAGGCAUAUAGUUUACAUACAGUCCUAUGAGCACCAUUUCAUCGCGUACCAAUCAACAUGUCUCAAUUGGUUUGAUUUUUUUUCCUACAGGACAAGAAAUUAGUUUUGAUAAUUUGUCACUUGAAGAGAAGAAACGAUUUCAUAGAGCUUUUGCUUUCAAAGCAGGGAUUGCAAGAUGAAAUUGGAAAUGAUUAAUCCAGUGAGAAUCCUCUUGGGUCUGAAAACAACUUCAAGUUGCAAGGUAUUAUAAGCAGGACAGUUUCGAGUUACAAUAGUUUCUAAAGCAGCUAAGGCAAGCUAGAGUCAACUUUCAAGAUAUCUAGAAUAGCACUAAUUUACAAAGAUAAUAAUGCAUUUUUAAAUUUCAACAAUUAUACUUUGAUGUAACAAGAAAAUUCAUUGCAAUAAAAUAAUAUUCGAAGUCCAAUUCCUUGUGAAUAUUUCUUUUAAAAAAAAAAAAUUAGAAGUAAAUAUUUCCACAAAAUGUGUAAAAGGGACAAAUCUCUAUCACACUAUAGAGCCACCAACCACGGUUGAAGUUAACUUUUUUAUUUUCAAAAAAAAAAGUUAUCAUAAUACAAUUUUAGACCCCAUGUAUCUUGGUCCUUGAUCUGUCAGUCACAGACUCACAGGUGAAGUCUCCUCUUCCAUGGCCUUCCUCCUGUUAUUAUUGGCUUGUAGUGUUGUUUCCGUUGAUCUAUAAUAGGAUGUACACAGGCUUCAAGAAAAAAUUCCUCUACUCCUUCCUCCAAGCAUUUGUUAAUCCUUGAAAGCACAUUCUCAAAUGACAUAAUCACCACUGGUAUGUAUCUCAAGGAUGAAGAUUCCUUGAUUUCCUUAAGCAAAUCAUAGCCUAUCAUACCAAGCAUACAACAAUCUGUUAUAACAAAGAUUCACCUGCACUUCACGUAAAGGCAUAAAAAUACCAUGAAAUUUCAUAACCCCAGAAAAAGAAAUUGAUCUAUUUCUGAUAAACAUGCUUUAAGAAGGAAGAUAAAUUGGGUACAAUCCCUCACCAUCCUAAACAAAAAAUAUAAAAGACACAAAAUAAAAUAAAAAUAACAAGGAAGCAACAAAACUUCUCAAACUGCCAAGUUUCAUAUUAUAAUCAUUAGACCAAUUCCCAAAAGGUGCAUGACAAAAAAUGCUUCCAGAACCACAAGAACUGUAUAUGAAUUAAACUUUAUCAAACUAAUGAAUGGAUCAUUGUGAAAUUAGACCAUAAUAUGAGAAUCAUUCCUGCUACUUUAUAAGGGUAUUAAAACUCAACUUUCACCAUCAGGUUUUACUGCAUAAAAAGAUGUUACAAAUCUACACUCAAAAGAAACAUAAACAUUUACAAUAUAAGAUGCUUGCAUCUAGAUGCAUAAGACUCCGUAAACUCUACUAGGUGGGGUCUUGGUCAGAAAUCUUAGAUACCGGUCUCUCAGACCAUGGAUAUAUGAAGUGUGUCGCUUCAGAUAAGCCUGCAUAUUAGCCAGGGUAUCAAAUUCAUUUUCAGCAACACAACAGAUUUUAAACUAUCCAAACAUAUAGUCAUUGAUGCUCCUUUUUAGUUGGCUGCUUCAUGUUCUCUUAACAAACUUCACAAGGUCCAAAGCCCAUAUUUAAUAUGCAUUUUGAAGCCAACAUCAUAUCGUGAAUAUAAGUUUGGAAUGUGUACACUUACAAGUCAAUGCAACCUAAAGGGGUUCGUUUCGAUUCACACAUCUCCGAUCAUACAACUCACAACCAUCCAUUAAAAAAUUAGGGAGUUCGCAAAUUUUCAAUUAGCAUAAAUUAAUUAUCCACUGUGAAUUUUUCAUACUAGUUUUUUACCCAAGCUUGACACCUAGAUUUCACUAUCUUCCCAAGUACACAGGAGCAAAUAAACAAAAUGGAGAAGCUAAGAUCAGCCAUAUUAUGUUAUGUAUCAUUUACAAUAUUUCUAAAAUGAGAAGAGAAGAGACAGAGUUAAGAGGAUGCAAGGAUGGGUCAAAGGUUAUCCAGUUAGCUGACCUCAUAUCCAGAUAGGUUGCAAUUGACAUAAUCGUUACAGAGCACUCAAAUGAUAAUUGACAUACUUAAACAUCUGCAAAAAAAUUCACCCUCUAAGGAAAUUCAAUUGAAUAGUUAAAUAAUAAUGUAGCAAACACAGUUUUUUUCUGAAAGAACUUAAAGAAAUGUCUGUAUACAAAAUUAAAAUCCAUAUGCAGCGGAAGUUUGACUUGUACUAGCUUCCUCAUUGACAGCAAAUUCCAGAGAAGUUGCUUGCUAACUAAUAAGAGUGACAAUCAGUUUUCGAUAUGCACAUUACCUUUUUCCUCCUCAAGAGAACAUAUUAUAUCUUGCAAAUAAGUCAGAAUCCCUUCUGCAGCUAUUUUUGUUGUCUCACAUUGUUCUGCAUUCACCCAUAGAAUUCACAAGGAUUGAUCAGAUGUAAAAUUAGACUGAGAUAAUGGUGUGGGAGUGGGGAUUGGAGGUCAGCAACAACCACCUCAUAAUGACAUCUGAUAUAACAUAUGUAGGCUAUUAGCUAAUUUAUUGUAAUACCUCUUUAUAUACAUUUCAGUGAAGAGUGAAGAAGAUGAAUGCGAAGAAGGCUUUUUUAAAACACCUAAAAGAAGUAUGGAUUAUUUUCCAGAAAUAAUUAAAAAUAGAUAAUCUCAAUAUACUUGAGUAAAAAAGACUAUAAUUAAAUAGUCAGUAGAUCAUAGAGAUAUCUAUUUUUGAAUUGCAAUUAGAUUCCAAAACCAUAUUUUCCAGGAAAAAUAAGAGUAAAGAGAAUAGUUUGAAAUGUCAAUUUAAGAUGCAAGACUGCAAGUCACCAGAACACAUAAUCUUUUUGGUUUCUUCAAAAGUUCAAAUUUCAUGUAAAAAGUUACGAACAAGAUGCAUGUGGCAAUCAGUAUAGCACUCAUAAGAUGCCAGAAAGUGAUUUAAGCUAAGGUCCCAUCUAUUUACUAGUAUGUACACAAUUAUAUCACCUUCUUGGUUUUCCAGCAUGCAUAAGGUAACUUUCAAUUUCAACCAGCUUCCUCUGGGUGUGACACUCUAAUAUCCAAUUCUAACACCCAAAAGGAAGAGAAAGCAUAAGAUUACAUUUUAGACUAUUACUCACAAUCGACUAGUUAUAAAUGGUGGUUGUCGAGAACAUUUUAGAAAGCAUCAUGGAUUGACAUUAACAGUUAUAAAUGAUAAAAGCAUGACUUCAUCAAAUAUUGUGAAUACUGCACUUAACAAGUUCUCACCCGUGCCAAAGCGCCCUGCGAGGUACGAAGCCAGCUAAGAUCUUUAAUAUAACAUCAACAUCAUUGUAUAUGUAUCCCUCCUAACAUCGAGACAGAGCAUAGACCUGGAAUAGUGGAGGAAAAUGAGAGGGGAGACAACUCACCGGCGGUAGAAAUCGGCGAUGGCAACGGAGACGAAAUGAAAUGUUGAUUGCUUGAAAACAUACAAACACAAUAACCUAAAAACGGCAAGAGAUCGACAUUCAGAGAUUUGAGGUGAACAAAACUGAAACAGUGGCCGAGAAUGAGAGGAGAAAUUGAGAAUCAAUGGUCUUCAAGUAUAAGGAUGACUAAAAUCUUCUAAAGCUUAUACCUACAAUGUACUUCAUCCAAAGAGAGAAGCCUCUGGAAAAAAAAAAUUAAGCAAAGCUUUCUUAACAGUUCUUAAGGUACAAGAAGAAUCAUUCCAUUAUUGUUAUAGCCUAGAUAUUCACUCAUUGAUUCCUCACAUGAGCAAUUCUCCCAUACUAAAAGCUAAGCUCAAUUCCUUGUGUACUUAGUCAUUUAUAUGAGGUUUAUAAGCAUGCAAUUUUCAGGCCAACAAAACCAAUCCCUCACUCUAUUCCUAGAAGCAAGCAAAGAGAGGUCAAUUCUAACCCAAGUCCCCAAAUUACAACAAUCUUCCAAUAUGAUUGCAAUUUAGUUUUAAGCAAAGGUGCACCCAAGCUUAUCAUGCAUAAAAGAAUUGAAAUGUAAGAUAGAUUCAAGAACAAGAGCAUAGAGAUAGGAAUUAAGUCUAGAAAUUCAUGAAAUCACAUUGAACCCAAAGCAAAAGAAGAGUCUAGCCACUCAUGGCUAGUGAAUCCAUACAAAGAGAUGUAAAGAAAACCUGGAAAAUACAAGGAGGAAGCCUCUCACAAGCCCUAAAAGCACUUCCUAAGCUUCAAUACUUGGUAAAAAUCUAAGUAAAAAUCAGAAGUUCUGAACAAAAUGGCCUAAAGCCUUAUUUAUAGGCAAAAAAGUCGAGCUGGGGCGCUCAAGCGCUGCCCUGGGGCGCUUGAGCGCCCAUGAGGCAGAAGCAAAACUCCAGCUUCUGGAGUGCUGGCGCUUGAGCGCCAGCUGCACGCUCUUGGUGGCUUUUCAGCUUUUUGUAACCCUCUUUGAAUGCUUUCUUCAAUUCCUUUGCAUCUUGACCUUGCUUUUCCAUAAGUUACCUGCUGCAGCACUAAAGGACCAAGACAAGGAGUAAAAUCAAGAAAUUCAAUGGGAUUUUAACCACCUUAGUCCUCACAAAAUCAUGGCAAAACUCAUGCAAGUCCUAAACUCUAUAAAAAAUGCAAAAACAACCCUCAUAAAACCAUAAGAUUAUUAAAACUUGACUCAAACUCAAAUAAACACAAAAAUGCAUGAGAAUGCAUGAAACACUACAUGAGACAAAGAAAAAGACUCAAAACACUCAAAGAAAUGACCCUAAAACCACUACUAACAUAGGGUCAUCACACCACUAUACUCAACGACAGCUCGCCCUCGAGCGUAGAAAACACUUGCUUGCCCUCAAGCGCAAGAAAUGCUCCCAAACAAGUGCCUUCACAAAGGAUACUACCCAAAAAACUAGGGGAAAGAGUAACUACAGCUGGUUCCAAAAGAAAAGAUCCAACAACCCACCUCAUGCAACUUUUUGAAAAGAGAAGAGUAUAGAGUCCAUCAUGAGAAGCAUAUAGAUCUAAAAUCCUAGGAUGAGAUAUAAUUUAGUGCACUAAGCACACAAGCAAGUUCAUAGGUUCUGGAUGUCAUUCACAUAAUAGCAACAAAGAUCAAACAUGCACAAAUUCAAAGAGACUUCACAAAGGUUGAAAUGUGUGGCUUGGUGAAGUACAAGGUGGUUGGUCCUUAAGGAAAACUAAGGCUUUAAAGCACAUUGAGUGUGGUCCAAAUAGUAACCCCCAGAGCUCUCAACAACAAACCUUUUAGCAGAAGUCUCUUGACCCCUUUUCAAGAUCUUUUUUUUUUCUUUUUUCUUUUUCCCACUCCAACUUUGAUUAGGAGUUCUCUUUCUUUUUUCUUUUUCAUUUUUUCCUUGGGACAAGAGACAUUUUCAAACUUUAAUUAUUAGCUCCAACAUAAUGUAAGGACCAACACUCCCCAUAAUCCAACCUAUCAUCCAUCCCAAUCAUUUAGCUAACAAAGAAAUCUUCAAUAGGCUCAAAAGGGACAACUAGGGACAAAUAUUUAAGCCAAGAAAAACUCUGAGGUUCAAAAACCUAUAAGUCUCAUGAAUAGUGCAAGUCUCACAAAGCAUGCAAAGUGUGAAAUCAAUACAGAACCAAGAAUUGUCAGUGAGUUAAGAUCCUCCAGGAAAAUUUUAUGGUGAAGGGUCAAAGAUAAACCCUUAAUGGACUCAAAUCAACUCCUUUCUAAAGAAACACUCGGAAGACCGAAGCCUCCUCCUCUCUUCCCCAACAUACAAUCACUCAUCCCCAAAACAACAUGAGUAACCACAAGAAACAAAUUUUCCAAAACCGACACAAGUAGGGAAGCACAACUUAGCGGCCAAAAACAUGUGAGUAUAGGGAGUAAAAGACCCAAAACAAAUAAAAACAAUUAACUAAACGAUGCAUGAUAAAAAGAAAACAAAAUCCACAAAUGAAAAAUAUAUGCUAAAGAUGCAUGACCUAAACUAAGAUAGAAUUACCUCAUCACAAUCACUCCAUGGGGCCAUGGUCACCCACUCCAUCACCAUAAUCCGGAUGAACUCCGGCGUCAUUCAUUAUGCUCAAAUCAAUCAUCCCCUGCUCCAAUGAAUUGAAAUCCAUUGGGCCUUGGUAUCCAGGAUCUGAGGUGCUUCCUCCCCUCCAGUGGAGAUCAAGAUCCCGGUGAAGGCGAUCUUGCCUCAAAAACAUCCGCAUGAAAGCGACCACCAUCCAAGCCGGUGAAGGAUCAACCACUUCAUUAACCUCCUCUUCUUCUUCCGCUGGCUCUGUCGGAUCCUCCUCUUCCUCAUCCUCUUGAGGCAUCCUAGACAUCCAAUCUUGAAAGAGUUGGUUCACCCGACCCUUGCUCAGCAUAGGGGAAACCAACAACCUCUGCUACACAGGAAAUGCAGGUCUCCUAGCCUUCUCCCUAACAUCAUGAAUCAAAUCAGUAAUCAAGUGAGGAAAGAUAGGACGUGGCUUCUCCUUACCCACAUUGUAGUGUGGGUAAAUCUUCUCAGAAAUGAUCAUCGCCACAUCCAUGGGAUGGCCCCUAUUAAUGCAAUAAAUUGCAAUUAGGACCACUGCUCUCACUUCAGAUUUUAUUUCGCCCCUCCAACGGAAAAAUCCUGGAUACGCCCCUGACCCUACUUCCAUCUGAACACCAUUUAGAAAGUUUAUCCCUCUUUCCAGGUUCAAUUCAAUCUAAAACCAGCACUAGCUUCACAAUAAUAGAUCAAAUUUAAAAGUUAAGCUUAACUCAAUGUCACUAGAACAUAUUUUAUCUGCUCAUUUCAAUGUAAUCCAUCCAUUAUAUAUAUAUAUAUAUAUAUAUAUAUAUAUAUAUAUAUUUUGUUGAAGGUUCAAGUUGUAGCUUCUACAUUAAUGUAGAUGAAAUGUGUGCACAACACCAAAAGUUAAUAUAACAUACUCAUUCAACAUAAAUGAUAAUAAUAACCACUAUAAUACACUCAUGAUUCUGUUUUUCUGGCCACACAGUUGCCAAACACCAUAAGCUAGCUAAUUCAGUACCUAGAUAGAGGAUGGGACCAACCAAGUCCAACUUUGGGUUAUAGGUCCACGAAUAGGAUAGGAUAGAACUACGAAAAGCUUAAAUAACAAGUACUACUAGCUAAUAGUGGUUAAAGUGGUUAAUUUACAUCAUGUCUAAUUGAAGCAAAUUUGCUGAUUCCGGGUCUCCUGCAUCCUGCAAAACAAAUUGUGGAUGGAUAACACACUUUUCUUUAAGUUCAAGCAGGAGAUUUCCAUUAUAUACUUAUCAGACGAAUACAAGAGCUUUUUGCAAAGAAAAACUCCAAGUUCAUAACUGCAUGUUAAUAUGUCACCAAUGGAACACUGCAUGAUGCACAAGCAACUUUUACCAGAUUUUUUUUCAACAACAUCAUUAUAGUUAUUGGAUUCCCCGUCGAAGCAAAAAUUAUAUUUUUCACAUGCUAAUUGCUAGACCCAUCAUAAUAGAAACUCUAUUCUGAUUUUUUCGCUUAAAUUCUCAUUUUGUUUACAUUUCCUAUUUCUAAAUCAAAUACAAGAAUAAUAGCUAACUCCCCUCCCUCUUUUAAAGCAAUAAUGAUUUCCUUACUGAUUUAUGUUAGAUUCAUUAUGAUGUGGAUAUCCACGGUUAAUUUGAUUUAAAAUACAAUGUAAUCUUAACCCAUACAAAUUUAAAAGUAGAUAAACAAGCUCAUUUCAGAGUAGCCUUUUCCAUACUCUGUUCAACAAUUUUCAUUCAUUUGCAUUUUUAUUUAUGUUUCCUUUAUCGGUCUAAAGUCUAAAUGAUUUUAUCAUAACCCUAAUGGCAGGGUCUACUCUCUAGUUAACACAUUGUGAAUUUUUGUGUGUUUGAGUGAUAGAAGCUCAUAUCUAUAGUUGGAAUCUCAUUGAAAGUUAUGUUUUUUUUUGAAUAGGCUAUGAAUAUGUAUUAAAAUCUAGCACAAGGGGUGCUAGAGCCCAAUACAAAGGAGGAGGAAAAGUUACAAACAAAAGAGGGAAAAAACAUAGCAAAUAUAAAUGUAGCAGUAAACAACAGAUCAUCCAGUUUCAAAGUCAAAGAAAUGACCCAGCAACCUACAGUCCAAGCACAUCAGACCUGCGAAAUGCAUACCCUGGGAUUCAUUACCCAUUCAAAAUGGGAGCAGCAAAACUCCUUUACCUUAGCCGAAAUCCAAACCCAAGCCUUCCAUUUAACUAAGUCCAAAACAUUACUCCAGUCAGGCUCCAAAUUGCGAAAAACCAAAUUGUUCCUAUAUCUUGAAAGUUAUGUAAUCAAAAUCCUAUAUCUGUUACUCCACAACUAAAAUAAACCACGCAUCCAUGCAAAAAAUGAUCAUUCAAACAUUUAUGUACUCAGGAUAAUGUCAACACAAACAACUCAUAAACACAAUACACAUAACACACAUAGCAUAUAUAUAGAUAAUGUCAACACAAACGACUCAUGAUAACAACAUAGUACAAAUGACAUCACAAUCAUAAAAUUAAUAGUAAUUAGAGUAAAAUCAUCAAACUGUAAUAGUACAAUCCUUCACCUUCUUCUCUUGCUCUCGGGUCUUGCUGGGUCUACAAUUGCUUGUCCCUGCAAAUAUGGUACAAAUAAAACAAUGACAUGUAUAAUAUAAUAUAUUUACAAAAGCAUAUAAAACCUGCAGAAUUAACAAUAAUAAAAUAAAAAGUAUAGUCCAUAAUGCAGAAUGAUAGAAUCAUACAAAAAAGAUCUGGCAUAUUCAAGCCGCCGGCCAUGGUCUUUCUCAGAGAGAAAGCUUCUCAUUUCUUUGUUGGUAAGGACACCAAUGACCUGAGAUACACGGAGACUAGACAUCCCGAUCUCCAUCAAAGCAUCCCGACAAGCUCUUUGAAGGUUUAAACUCACCUUACCACGGGCAUGACCAGAACUUCUACUAUUGCCAAUUUCACUGCUACUGAUUUCAUGGGCGAAUAUGGGAAUAACCAGGCCAUGGUCCAACAAUCGCCUUAUUAGAUCAUGCUGAGGCCAUUCCUCAACGUUGCCCCUAGCGUUUCUAGCCUGUAAGAAUAAAACAAAAAAUACUAUAUCACCUCUAGAAUGUACUAAAAUUAAAGAAAUAGAAACCGACAUUCACAAGUCGGUGGAACAAAGCCUAUAAAUAGGCAUGUAAUUCAAAAUUUAGAGGUGUGGAGAACACUAAUCACCUCUCCACAAUGUACUACUAGCUAGCCUUAUAUACCAUUGGAACUAUACGUUUCCAACCAGUGCUACACUUUUCAAGUGUUUAUUUCUAAAAACAUUUUCUAUAUAUUUUAAAUUCUAACAAAUUUCAAUCUCAAAUGUUUCAGUCGGUUCCCCAAGGCUUGACAAGUUUUCCCUUCAUUUCGAUGAAUGUCAUCGUUGAAGAGUGUGACCAUUACUUCCCAGACCCCUAUGUUUUUCAAUGGGUCAGACUCUCUCAUUUCUAUUCCUCGGAACUCUCCUAUCUUCUUUUUGGCCCUAAGUGCCAGCUUCAAGAGUUUAUUGUCCAAUCUAUCGUUCCAUCCUUGUUGUCUGAUUGUGCUCGAAAACCCAUUCUGCAAAUGAUCAUGUAGUAAGUUAGAUUUUAUUCACAUAAAUAUUACAAAUUUUCCAAAAAUAAGAUAUUAAUCCUACCAGAUUGUGAUUCAUUCUUUGAAAUAUUGGAAUGGAGUAAGGGAAGAAGAGUGAGGAGGUGAUGUGUGAAGGUAUGAAAAACGGUAGAAAGGGGGGGUUUGAAUAACGUUUUCAGUACAAAACUACCACCUUAAAGAUUUUAACAAAUCUUUUCGAGAACUAAGUGCAAAAGAUAGAGAUAGAAAAGCACACAAGGAUUUUAUCCUGGUUCACUUGAUAAAUCACUCAAGCUACUCCAGUCCACCCGUUAAGGUGAUUUCUUCCUUCUUAGAAUGAAGGCAAUCCACUAAUCAGGUAAGAGUUACAACUGCACUUGAAACCUACAAGUGACUAACAAUUACACUGACUUAGCUCACACUAAGAUUCACUCUCUUAGUCUUCUCUAGGAUCCGAUCAACCUUGAUCUCCUAAAGGAAAAUCAAACAACUGUUUGAGGUUGGUGUUUACAAGGGUUUGCUUCUGAAUAAGCUGAGUGUAAACUAAAUAAAUUACAAGAUGAAAGAAAGCUUAGAAUAUUUUGAAUAUCUUGCGCGUGUGUUGCUUCUUGUAUUCACUUCUCUUCUCUAGCCGCUUCUUUCAAUCUUCAGCCUCUAUAUAUACUCCAAGGAUUAGGGUUGAGCGUUGCAUGGGAAAUGCUACCGUUGGAGGGCAGUUCUGGAAAAUCCAGCUUCUGCUGUGGCUGAGAACGUUAGGUAAGUCGUCAGGAAGGUACACUUGCUUUUGUACUUGGAUAGCGACUUGACCUUUUAACCUAUGAGACUUCUGAUCAGAGGAAUGCUUCGUAUUGGAACUUGUGAAGCCGGUUGAUCAGAGUCAGAGGGAUAGCACAGAUCCUCUGACCAUUGUAUCUUCUGAUUCUGAACUCAGAGGGAAGAACAUGGCCUUCAGAGUUUCUUGCUUCUGGACUUCAGAGUUUCUACUAUUCAGCUUCUGGAUCUUCAGAGUCUUCUACACCAUCGGAACAUCUGAACCUUCAGUGUUUCUUGGUUGUCAGAACUUCUGGAUCAUCAGAGCUUCUAGCGACUGAGUCCUCAUCAGAGUUUGUAUAGCUUCAGAUCUUCUGAAGCUUUUCCACUGUUCAUACUGAACAUGGUGAAUGCGAAAGCGUUGCUUGGGUUACCCUUUAUACACAGUGCUUCUGAUUUGUGUGAAAUUGAGUCAGGGUCAGAGCCUGUAAAUAGCACACUCAGAAAAACACGUUAGAGUACCACAAUUGUUCAUAUCAAAAGGUUAACUUGUAAUCAUCAAAACAUAGAGUUGUACUACUAGAUCAAAACUUGAUCUUACAAUGUGGGCUAAGAGAGUGAGUGAGGCGGGUGUUAGUGUGUGAGGUAGUGAGAGAGUGAGACAAAGAGUGUGUGAUGUAGUGAGAGAUAGUGAGACAGAGAGUGAGUAUGUGUUUGUUUGGAAUGAAUGAUUUUGGUGAUAAGAAGAGGUUUUUAGAUUCACAACCGUAGGGUGCUUAUGUAUUCUAAGGAUAGUAAUAAAGAUUAUUAAAAAGUGACUUCCAAGUGUACCUUCNNNNNNNNNNNNNNNNNNNNNNNNNNNNNNNNNNNNNNNNNNNNNNNNNNNNNNNNNNNNNNNNNNNNNNNNNNNNNNNNNNNNNNNNNNNNNNNNNNNNUUAUUUUUGGAAAUUUGUAAUAUUUAUGUGAAUAAAAUCUAACUUACUACAUGAUCAUUUGCAGAAUGGGUUUCCGAGCACAAUCAGACAACAAGGAUGGGACGAUAGAUUGGACAAUAAACUCUUGAAGCUGGCACUUAGGGCCAAAAAGAAGAUAGGAGAGUUCCGAGGAAUAGAAAUGAGAGAGUCUGACCCAUUGAAAAACAUAGGGGUCUGGGAAGUAAUGGUCACACUCUUCAACGAUGACAUUCAUCGAAAUGAAGGGAAAACUUAUCAAGCCUUGGGGAACCGACUGAAACAUUUGAGAUUGAAAUUUGUUAGAAUUUAAAAUAUAUAGAAAAUGUUUUUAGAAAUAAACACUUGAAAAGUGUAGCACUGGUUGGAAACGUAUAGUUCCAAUGGUAUACAAGGCUAGCUAGUAGUACAUUGUGGAGAGGUGAUUAGUGUUCUCCACACCUCUAAAUUUUGAAUUACAUGCCUAUUUAUAGGCUUUGUUCCACCGACUUGUGAAUGUCGGUUUCUAUUUCUUUAAUUUUAGUACAUUCUAGAGGUGAUAUAGUAUUUUUUGUCUUAUUCUUACAGGCUAGAAACGCUAGGGGCAACGUUGAGGAAUGGCCUCAGCAUGAUUUAAUAAGGCGAUUGUUGGACCAUGGCCUGGUUAUUCCCAUAUUCGCCCAUGAAAUCAGUAGCAGUGAAAUUGACAAUAGUAGAAGUUCUGGUCAUGCCCGUGGUAAGGUGAGUUUAAACCUUCAAAGAGCUUGUCGGGAUACUUUGAUGGAGAUCGGGAUGUCUAGUCUCCGUGUAUCUCAGGUCAUUGGUGUCCUUACCAACAAAGAAAUGAGAAGCUUUCUCUCUGUGAAAGACCAUGGCCGGCGGCUUGAAUAUGCCAGAUCUUUUUUGUAUGAUUCUAUCAUUCUGCAUUAUGGACUAUACUUUUUAUUUUAUUAUUGUUAAUUCUGCAGGUUUUAUAUGCUUUUGUAAAUAUAUUAUAUUAUACAUGUCAUUGUUUUAUUUGUACCAUAUUUGCAGGGACAAGCAAUUGUAGACCCAGCAAGACCCGAGAGCAUGAGAAGAAGGUGAAGGAUUGUACUAUUACAGUUUGAUGAUUUUACUCUAAUUACUAUUAUUUUUAUGAUUGUGAUGUCAUUUGUACUAUGUUGUUAUCAUGAGUCGUUUGUGUUGACAUUAUCUAUAUAUAUAUGCUAUAUGUGUUAUGUGUAUUGUGUUUAUGAGUUGUUUGUGUUGACAUUAUCAUGAGUACAUAAAUGUUUGAAUGGUCAUUUUUUGCAUGGAUGCGUGGUUUAUUUUAGUUGUGGAGUAACAGAUAUAGGAUUUUGAUGACAUAACUUUCAAUGAGAUUCCAACUAUAGAUAUGAGCUUCUAUCACUCAAACACACAAAAAUACACAAUGUGUUAACUAGAGAGUAGACCUGCCAUUAGGGUUAUGAUAAAAUCAUUUAGACUGGCAUAAAUUAAGCAUACUUAUUAGCACUAGUCCAGAAAAAUAAAGUUAGUGUUCCUAAAUACGUGAGUCAUGACUAAUCAUAUCUUCACUUCUAAUAUUUUAAAAUAUUCAUCAUAUUCCAGGUUUAAAGCCUUAAUAAUUUCCAUAUAAAUUCAACACACAAGCACAACAAUGAUCAAUGUUGAAGCCCAGAUGCAGACAAACAAUUGAAAGCAAAUGCGGAUGAAAAUCCCAUAGCAAUGAACUCAUAUGACGAGAAAAGAUAAUGUAAAUACUAAAUACGUAUAUUCCUUUCCAAAACAUCUUUUAAGUACUUUCCAUCGAAUUUAUAUAAGAACUUGAGGCAAAUAGGAUGCAAACUCAAUCCAUUUCUCAAUGACAGCAUCUGAAAUAUUUAUCACAAGAUUUAGGUUAAUUCUUUAAAAGAGAACUAAUUAGUUGUAGUGCUACCUUCAGUGAAGGUUUCCUUUUACUUUGAGUAACAAAAAUUAAUCUUCACACAUGGUUUUUAUCGCACAAACUUUCCAUGUCCGUUGCUACUUAUAGUUCAUUCAAGAUAUCUUCAUCAAAAUUCAACAUAGAAGUCAAUUCCAACAGCACUUGAGGCUUACAUAUAUAAGCAAAUAGCAAUAAAAAGAAACUACUAGAGAAUUAUCUGGGUAUGUAAAUCAGCAAAGAUAAACAAUGGCACUUCAAAUGUUUGUAAUGCUUUGGAAACUAAAACUUGCAGCUAUGAGCAGAAUCGACAUUGAUUAUUGUGCUACAGGCUUCAGCAUAAAUGGUAGCAGAUUAUACAAAAAAAAAAGAAUAUCAGUUAUGUUUUGCCUGAAGACAAACAGUUCCAGAAAGGCUUUUUCUCAAAUUUUCCUAUAUUGUUCAGUUUCCCAUACAUACACUGCUCACAGAAAAAUAAUAGGAGACAAGAAGGAUACAAGUCAGAACAUCAAAACUCAUGAACUAGGAACUUCAUGGAGAUUUCAAUUUAAUUUGGGAUGAACAGGAGAAAAUGAAUCUCACAGCCUCCCCCAAACAGGACAAAAAUGUAGCAUAGAAAAGAAAUCCAGACCUGUACUUGGAGCUGAAGCUGUUUAAGGUAAUCAAUAGCUUCAUCAAGCAUGAAAGCCUUAUCAGUCUGCCACACAAAAACACAACACACCACAAUAAGACUAACUAUGAAUCACAAAACACACCCAUUCUCACCAAGGUUGAAGAAACUCAUGUACCUUGUUAGAGUUUGGAAUUAGAUUUUGCAAAGCCUUCAUAUUCUCAUUGAUCCUGCUCCUUCUCCUCUGCCAAACAAGCCCAGGCACACAAGGAAAAUCACAUCAGCAUGUGUAAAACCAAACACAAGUCAACAAAUAGCCAUCAACAAAAAAAUCACAAACCUUUCCAGACAAAUUAAGAACCUCUGCUGCUCUAGUCCUUUUAGAUGAGCUCCUAGAAGAAGGAACAGACUUUGUCCUAACCUCUUCACCCAAUGCUUCAAUGCCCUCCUUCAUUCAGAGAAAUCAUCAAACAAAUGUACCUAAAAAAUGAACAUAGUUUUGCACUUAAAAUCAAAUCCCAAAAAAAAAGCAACAAAAUCCUCCCUUCUUAGCACCAAUUUCACAAAGAUCCAAACCAGUAACAUACCCAGAAUCCAAGUAACAAUUUUUUAGGCCACCAGUUUCACAAAGAUGCAGAGGAAAGGGAAAGGAAAGUUUGAAGAGAAGGAAGCAAUACCUCACUUUCACAGUCAUAUUCAUCAGCCUCGUUCUCACUGAUACCUAGAGAGGAGGAGGACACAUUUGCAGCAAGCAGUGGGUGAGGCGGAGCGGAGAGAAAGGCUCCGGCGGUGGAAUGAAGGGGUGAGUUGGAGGAUGGAGGCAUAUUGGGGUUGGAAGAAGAGGAUGAACAGAGAAGAAUCUGACGGAGGAAAAGGGAGAUUUCGUCUUGUGAGGAAGAAGAGAGGUUGUAGCUAUCUUCCUCGGCCAUUGCUGAAGAUUGUUGUGUGUGUUAGGGUUUAUGUACAAGAACCCAUUAUAAAUUAAAUCUGAAUGUAAAAAGAGAAAAAAAGGAUUUUAUCAAAACAGAAGAUGCAUGACGAGUUAGGGUUUAUAAUAAUAGAUUUGUGGUUGAGGACCGUGUUGGAACCACCACCGGUUGGGUGCGGUGGAUGAAGGAAGAAGACGAAGGACAAAGAAAAGAUGUAUUUCAAAUUGAUUUUACGUUUAUUAGAAUUUCAUAAUUAUUUUCGGUAAAUAAUUAAAUACAAUUUUAUAAAUAAAGCAAAGUACAGGGACUAAAGUGUGAGAAGUGAAAAUCUUCCCUGGUCAAACGCUGACAAGGCAUGAGAUGACACAGGUCAGUUUCCUAUGGUGCCACAUACGGGUGGCAUUGCUGCCUCCUAAAACGGGUGUGGCCCCUAAGUGUUCGCCAUAAACAAAACAAACCUUCAAAAAGUGUUGUUAGGACCCCAUUGCCAAGGUAUGGGACUUGAGUCCCACAUUGGAAGUAUGGGAUUCUAAUGUGGGGUUUAUAAGGCAUUGGGCUCUCCAACUACAACAGCUAGCUUUUGUGGUGUGGUUCUCCAAAGGUUCUUAUCAAUGGUAUCAGAGCCUUCCACCAUGUCUCUGAGCUGCAAACGAGCGGCGCGGGUGGUGACGCCGGCAUUGCAGUGUUCGCCUGGGACUAGUCAAGGGGAUAGUGCACAGCCAGCCCGCGUGGGCGCCGGGGCUGCGGAGCGUGGUGGGAUGUUAGGACCCCAUUGCCAAGGUAUGGGACUUGAGUCCCACAUUGGAAGUAUGGGAUUCUAAUGUGGGGUUUAUAAGGCAUUGGGCUCUCCAACUACAACAGCUAGCUUUUGUGGUGUGGUUCUCCAAAGGUUCUUAUCAAGUGUACUGCCAACUCAGCUUGGAAACCAUCCCCCAUCUGGACAAGUGCAUGAUCUGGUUUAUUUCGGAGAAGUUUAAUUCUGACAAUGUUCCCAUAAAUGGAGAACAAGUUGAACAGUUUGUCCUCGUCAAUUCUCUGAAAUAAACGAAUUUCAAGUCAAAUAAGAAAGAAAUGUUUACGGAAAAAAAAAAAGCCAAAGAGGCAAACCUCCCUUAAAGACAAUGUACUUACAUCAGGGUUGAGAUUUGCCACAAGAACUCUGCAUCUGUCAUUUGUUCCAGUUAUUCCAGGAGGCAAACCUCCUCCAAAGGCAGUUGCAAUUGCAGCAGCAUUUGCCAUCUAUAAUUCAAAACCAAAAUACAUAUGUGGAGGGUUAUUGUAUUCCAAACAACUAAUAAUCAAAAAGAGGUUUUGAAAAAAAAAAAUCCAAAAUUAUGCUAAACCAAACAUGCAUUAAGUAUAUAUUUUUCAAAGUUUAUUUACAUACAUGUCUACAGUCAACUUACAACCAAAUUCAAUAAACUCAAACUCCAAAUUCCAAAUUAGUUGUCACACUCGGGCAAACAAGUUCUUUAGCAUAUUCAGAUUUAUUAAUUAUUAAUAUAUCUAUGGGUAAAUGAAGGUCAAAGAUUGCUAGCAAUAGAUGCAUAAUGGCGCUGUGCCCAGCGAGGCGGGAUCUUUCAAUCACCAAGUUGCCCCUUUUUUUAAGAGACAUCAACCGUCAUACAUUUCUGAUGCUAGUUUUCAUGAGAUGCAAAUUGAUAAUAACUUCCAACCUAUUCAACUGUGCAUCAAUAACACAUUUCUAAUGCUACUUUUCAUAAGAUGCAACCUGAUAAUAACUUGCUUAAAUAUUCAACUGUGCAUCAAUAGUCGCAAAUGAGACCUUCAACUUGGUCUGAAAGUACCACCUACCUGUGAGAAUCCAACUGUAAAAAAAAAAAGAUAAAUAUUAGUACUUUUGAAAAUAGCAUAAGAAGAAAAUGAAAGCAAACCAACCAAAGCAAUUUAAAAUAUUUAGCACCUCCCCUGGGUCCAGCCCCGUACAUGCCUCCUGCAUCACCAUAUCCAGGCUAUUUACCAGAACAUGUAGGAAAAAAUGUUAGAAUGAACUUAACAAAGAUCAACAAGAAAAUAAAGAAAAGAAUAUCGCAGAACAUACUUGUGAAGAUCGGCCUUUCUGCUCUGUAGGCAGAUUUGGGUUUGUGAAGUCCCUGUCGAAAUGAGGAAUAAACUCGGUAACAAUAAAUACAAUGUUAAAUAAGAGAUUAGGAAGUACAAUUUGUUUGAAAAAAGCAAAAAACAAAACAAAAGAACUGACUAAAUCACCUUGGCCGAUCAUUAUUGAAGUUCACUUGUAACUCAUCAAGGCUGCAAUAAACAACAAUUUAAUGGCCAACAAAGUAAGGGAAACAGGACCAUAGCAUAAUUUUCUAAACCCUGAAACCAAUAUACAUGAAAUUGCUGUGAUAAAUUUAACCUACUUUGAGAAUUGAAUGUCCAGCUGACAGCAACCAUCAUAAAUAUUGCGUCCCUAGAAAUUGCCUGAAGUACAUUAAUCAUUCAGAAGAAAGAUAUCAUAAUUAACAACCCAAGGAGAGCACCAAGCUCAAUGUGAAUGUUAAAAACCUGAAGUGUACUUCUGGCAGUAAUAGCACUUUGACAGGAUUGAAAUUGGAUGAGAGCCUGAAAGCCUACACAACAUUUCAAACACAGAAUGAAACAAAUAGUAGAACACAUACACAAAACAUGCAAAAACCAAAUAUAAAGAUAAUCUUCAUCCGCAACAAUAAAUGCAGUGACAGUCCUCACUCCUCAUAUCUAAUUACAGGGCAUAUGUAUAUUGCGUUGAAUAAAAGCAUCCAUUCCAUGACUCAUUAGAAAAACCAGAAAUAUAAUUCCAUUAAAACCAAAGAAACUUUUUCUAUCAUUUCCUAUUUAUAUAAAAAAUUGAUAUAUUUCAAAGUAAAUAUUUGCAUGAACCAAAUAUGUCCGCAAUUCAUCCCAUAUAGCCUCAAGACAAAAAACGCUUCAUAGGAAAAAGAAAGAAAGAGAAAGGAAGAAAUUUGAGAGAAUCUGACCAGCUGACUUCUGAAACGUUACAAUCUUUUCCACAUAUCCAUUGGGAGAAAACACUUGAUGUAGUACAUCCACUGUUAUAGGAUACAGCAUGUGAUGAACUGUAACCAAGAGAAUUCGAUUUGGCUAUGCAUCCAGAGAGUUGCCAACAGUAGACAGCAUUAGAAGGAGAAGAGAGAGAGAGCGGAGAAUAAAUAGACCAAUAGAGAAGCUCAUGAUAAAGAGUAAGAGAAGACUACAAAACCUAACAUUUUAAUUAAACUCAUCAUAUUGAAAAGUCUAAGAUAAUAUACGGCAAAAACAUAACCAACGGAGUUCAGGUAUAUAUUUUUCAACUAAAAAACAAAAAAUGCCAACCUCAUCUUCUCGUGCUUGAGUCUGAUCCAUUGUAGUUAGUUCUUGAUGUGAGGAAAACUGGACAUAAACAUUUCUCCCCCUAUAGCAAAACAAAAUGAUGAUUAUGUAAACAAUGGUGAUUUCUUAACAUCAAUAGGAAUGAAUAGUGCUUUCCAAAUUUCAAAAAUAUGAAGGGAUCAAGUUUCAGAAACAGUACAUUCAAGGGACUCACAUACGGAUUUAAAAGAAAAAUAUACAAUAUAUAUACCUUAUGCUUGGCUGAACAUUUGCAUAAAAUUGUAAAGCACUAACUGCGGAAGGAACAUCUUGCAUUUGGAGAAGUGCCUGCAAGGAUGACAGAGUGUACAGGAAAUAAAUGAUAAAAUGAUUCAUUCUCAAAUUCUAAGAAUAUUAGGAACGCAAUGUUUCGCAUGAAGGCAUGAAGAAAACCUGAUUUUUGGCACGCAACAUUACAAGCUUUGUUAUGACUCCAAAAGGCUGAAAUAGCUGAAGCAAAUCAUUCUGCAACCAGAUAACUACAACUCAUAAACCAUUGAAGAUAAAAACUCAACUUAAAGUCGGAACAGGAAAGCCGAUCCAGCUCAUCUUUGGUGUUCAGCCAAUGUCUUCUUUGACUUAAGCAAGCACCCCAUUAAGAUCUCUUAGUUAGAUUUUCUAAUGCUGUAGAAUUCCAUGAAAGCUUUAUUUUUUGCAAGUUUUCUUUCAUUGCUUCACAAAAUUACCCAUCCUCUAUCAUGUUUUUCCAUCCUUCAUGGAUUUUUCUUAUUAUGAGAGAUAGAAGUGAUUUGCACAUGUGCAGUAAUUGUUGAUACCUGCUUCAUUUGGACUAUGAUACUUAAAUUCUUAUACAUUGUGUUCAAUAUUUAUCAUUUUUGUAGUCUUAGUAUAUGUGAAAAGGAAAUAAGUUAACAAAAAAACAAUUAAACAAGAUAACUAUAGACUAGUAGUUAAUUGAUGAUAUCAUUAACAAGAAAAAUGGUGCUAUUAAGGGGAGACAAUUAACAUAUCAAAGUAGGAAUGUAACUGUAAAGUGGAUUAAGCAAUGUUUCACAAUGACUUUAACUACAAGAUAAAUAUUUAAAUAGAUUAGUUAUAAUAAUGUGUGCGGUGUAUGUAAAUUUUUUCAAAAAAUUGGGGGUAGCCUAGUCAUGGAGAAGCUCUGCCCCUGACAGGUGGAGACAUGUGGUACGUUACCGAGCCAAAGCUAGGGUAAGUGGGGUUUACUUGUUUCUACCGUAUUUAAGUUUGUAAUAUAUUUUAUAAUAUUAAUCAGUACACUUUAAGAUAAAUUAUUUUUAAAAACUGCACAAGAUAUACCUUUUUAUAUAUUAAUUACAUGUUCACAUUUACUGGCAAUUUAUCUUUCUUCUCCCAAUAGGCCGAGAAACUAAAAACUGCAUCUUCCUAUACUAACCAAACAUUUUUAGAUGUUUUCUCUCCUACUAUCUCAUAAAACCUCCCCCCUUAAUUUCCCUUCUUUAGGUAUCACAGAUCUCUCCCUCUUCCCCUUACAUUCUUCUCCACCCUUUCCACUAUUCCUUAUGGCAUAGCCUCUCCCCUUCCCCUUUUCCCUUGGAUUACUCAACGAUGGCUUAGACCAGUGUUUCCACAACAAACAGCACUGCCAACUGGGAUGUGUCUCAGUUUACAGUUCGAAGGGAGGUAAGGCAAAUUCAGAAACGGGGGGUGGUGAUGAAAAGUCCACAUUUACAGUGUUGCUAAAGGCGGAUGGCGGAAAACCAUAAACGCGCCAUGAUUGACAAAUAAUGAUGGCUGAUUAUGACGAUAUAUGCGCCAUGGCGGCUUGCUGGGAUUCCGCCAUAGCCUAUACUUUACAACACUGAUAUUUAGGGAUCCACAUUAGAGCUACAAAAACAGUUACAAUCAAUAUAAGAAAUACGAAAUACAGAACUGAUUCCAUAAGUCCAGAACAGCUACUUUCCCCGACAAGAGUGAAUAAUUAAAUAUCACAAAAAUCACCAUUCUAGUCAUAACAGAGCUAGAGAAAAUGCAUACAAGCCGAUGGUAAAAAGGUAAAGCCAUGGCAGCAUCUUAUUGCAAAAUCAAAUAACAAGUAUAAACGACAUGAUCAUAGAGCAAAGCAGAGAGAGAGAGAGAGAGAGAGAGAGUUUACUUCAGAUAUCUCAUGCCCCAUUAAUACAAAAAAGGAUAGCUAUACAAUAUGCACCCAUUCCAAUUUCUUUACAAAACCCAGUUCACAAUAUAUCAGCAUUCGAGAUAAAUCGUGGGGCGUUCUCAAACAAAGAGGUGAAAAAACAAUUGCCAAUGAGAUGCUAACACUGAGAAGCAGAUAUGAAGAGAGAAAGAGAGAACCUGGCUGAAGAGAGCAAGUGAGGGACGCGCAGAGAGAGAAUGCAAUUUCAUUCAUGAAGGCCAGAGGCCAGAAAGUACAAUUGAUGACACUGCAGGGAAAGAUAGACCGGUCAAGGUCAAAAACAGAAGACAUAUGGCCCUACUCAUCAAUAUUAAAGCUAUGGGAGAAAAAAACCAAGCCUAGGACAAGACAACACAAGCACUGACUAAGCUAGGAAGAAAAAAACACCGAAAGCACGUGAAGCUUGUCAGAGCCUUGGAGUGUGGGGCGGUUUCCUAAUAAUAAAACGCAAUAAAUAUAAGAGCAACUCCAACGCUGGUUUCUUAACCAAGCUGGAGUUGCUAAGAUACGGUUUCUUAUUUUUUUCAGCAUUGGAGCUUGCUCAGUUGGCAGGUUCAGUUUCUUAGCUACAGUGCAUGGUUGCUUCUGCAAGCAACUAUGCUUUUUGGUUUCUUAGCAUUAAAAAUUAUUAUUUUCUCUCACUUUCUUCAACCGAAUGCUCCAGAUUUCAGAGGGAAAAAAACAGAUUGAAGGAACUUGGAAGAAGAUGAACAACAGAACUCCAAAACAACAAUUUGAUUACAACAAAAUUCAAACUUUAAAAUAAAAAUUAUUACUUUACAAUAAAAAUUAAAACUUUACCCUCAAGAUCCUGAUUACAUGAAAAAAAAAAAAUAAGGAAGAGGGAGCAAAGUGAGCAGCAAAAAUUUCUCUCUUGGACCACCGAUCAAGCACCUUGCAUGUCUGAUCCAGAAGCUUGAGGGGCGAUCUGGGUCUUGAUUGAAGCUUUGGUGGCGGCUGGGGUAGGUUUUAGCUGCGGUGGUGGGUGUUUGGUGGUGGUGAGGUGGGUUUCGAUGGGUGUGAGGUGGGUUUUGGUGGCGGUGGAUGCUGCAUCGUGGCCGGUGGUGGGUGUUUGUUGGCGGUUGAGGUUGUUUGUUGGCGGUGGUGGGUGUUUGUUGCGGUGGUGGGUGAAAGGAAGGGGAAAAGGAGACGCUGCAGGUCCUGAAAGAGGAAGGGGGAAAGAGGAAGGGGGAAAGAAGAAGGUGAGUGAGAGCUUGAGGAAGAAGGUGAGUGAGAGAGGUUGAAGAAGAAGCUGAGCGUGGCGGUGAGGAGGGUUUGGUGAGGAGGCCGUGAGGUGGCGGUGAGGAGGGUUUGGUGAGGAAGAAGAAGAGGACGAAGGAGAAGAGGACGAAGGAGAAGAAGAGGACGAAGGAGAAGAGGACGCAGGUGAUCGGUUGGUGAUGUUUGGUGAUCGGUUGGUGAGGUUGCAGAAGAAGAGGACGAAGGAGAAGAGAGGUUGAAGAAGAAGCUGCGUGAGAGAAGAGAGGAAGAAGAGAGGAGCGGCUAGGGUUAGAAUGGAGAGUGAGGGAGGAAAAGUAGAUUAUAUAGUGGGUGACCGGCUGAGCCGGUCAUCCCACCGGCUGGUGCCGGUUUUCUGCCCGUUUGGGCUUUUUUUUUUGAAUUUUUUUAAAUUGACCGGUUUGACCGGUUUUUCUGCCCGUUUUCUGACCGUUUUUUCAAUUCUCCGACCGUUUUUUCAAUUCUCAGAUUCUUUACCUUAUAUAUAGUGCAGUAGACCAUUUGAAACACCAACAUUUACUCCCACAAUUUCUCUCUUGUCCAAAAAUUCUCAAAUUUCUCACAAUGUCUAAUCCUUAUGAGCAAUAUUAUCCACUGCUCGACAAUGAAACACCUCCUACAAGUGAAGGUUUGCAACCUUCGCCUAUGUUUCCGCCACAAAACCAACCUCCGCAGAUGAUUCACCUGCAAAGCCAACCUAUGAUGGUGUUCCAACAACAAAACCAACAUUCGCAGGUGAUUCGCCCGCAAAGCCAACCUAUGCCGAUGUUCCAACAACAAAACCCACAUCCGCAAAUGUAUCAACCACAAAGCCAACAUCCGCAGAUGUGUCACCCUCAAAACCAACCUCCUCACACCGGUGGUAAUGUUCAAAAUCCUUCGUAUCAAAUGUUUCCACAAUCGUACUACCAUCAAAACCAACCUCAGGGUCAAAUGGGAUCAUAUCCAUCACAAAUGUCUUAUCCAAACAAUCCACAAUAUUGCAUGUAUCCACCACAAUACCAAGCACCUCCUACUGGUAGCAGCAGUAGUUCAAAAGUCUCAAGUACACAAUGUGAGGCUAUGCCCGAGGAGCCUGAAUUUUCUACUCAACGGGGUCUAGAUGAUAUUGAUCUUGAAGAAUCCGGAAAGAAACGCACCAAAUGGAGUGGUAAAGAUAAUAUACUUCUUCUUCAGUCAUGGCUCAACGUUUCUACCGAUCGGGUCGUGGGAAAUGAGCAAAAGUCAGAUUUGUUCUGGAAUAAGAUUCGAGCCCAAUAUGAGGAGUACCGCGACGAUGCCUCUCCUUCGAGGACAUGGUUAUCCCUGAAAUCUCAUUUUAAUAAAUUGAAUGCUGAUCUUCAAAAAUUUGUUGGUUGCCACACUAAAGCCGUCAAUCAUUGGAAAAGUGGACACUCAGAUAAGGACAUCAUGGCUACGGCGCAUCAAUUAUAUCAUGUAGAUACGGGUAAAGAUUUCAAACAUGAGAAUGAAUGGCGGUUGGUGAAGGAUGAACCAAAGUGGAAGGGAACAUUUAUGACAACCAGUUCAACGAGGCAGAAGAAGUCAGUAGAUGGGGUGUAUGCAACAUCGUCUGACCGGAGUGCAUCAAUCGAGGGCGACGAAUAUGAGGCCACACAACCAGCAACCCGCCCGUUGGGAGAAAAGAACCAGAAAAGGAAGGCCAAAGUAGGAGACACAGCUUCAAGUGAUCUCGAUUAUGUUCCUAACUCCGAGAUGAUAGCCAUCGGGAAAGCUAAACUGGGAUUCCUUGCGAGUUUUGAGAAGCUCAAGACUGAAGAACUGGAGGUGAGAAAGGAAAAAAACAAACUUCAAAAGGCGCGGUUAUUGAAGGAAUACAAAGAUAUCCUUAUGGAGGACACAUCUGAAAUGAACGAGGUGCAGUUAGCAACGCAUCAGCGCCUAGUUGAAUUCGCCAUGAAAGAACUAGGAAUGUCUUAAUUCUUGUUGUUGUCUUUCUUAGCGUGUGCCAAUGUUGUGAUUUUAGCAUUUCUACUUAUUGAUUAUGCAUUAGUGUUGUAAUUUUAGCAUUUCUACUUAUGUGUAUUGCAUCAGUGUUGUAAUUUUAGCAUUUCUACUUAUGUAUUCUGCAUUAAUGUUGUAAUUUCAGUAUUCGAAUUUUUCUUAAUGUGUACUGCGUUUCUACUUAUGUGUUCUAUAUAGCCGUUGGGGAAUAUAGCCGUUGUGGAAUAUAGCCGUUGGAGAAUAUAGCCGUUGGGGAAUAUAGUCGUUGGGGAAUAUAGCCGUUGGGGAAUAUAGCCGUUGUGGAAUAUAGCCGUUGGAGAAUAUAGCCGUUGUUGUUUCUCUUAUUUAUACAUGUCAUAUUUCAUUCAUCUCAACAUUCAAGAGUUGUUUUGUCCUCUCAUAUUUUCUUCCUCCUAUCCAAUUACACUGAUAGUUUCUCAUUGUGUCAUAGAAUGGAUCCAAACAAUAUGGCCGACUUGGACAUUUACGACGUUGUCAUUGACGAACUUAUCAAUGACACGACUAUAGAAGAUAUGAUGCAGGAGGAGAUGGAGUUUUAUCAACGACGUGCCAACACCGUUAGGCCCAAGCGAACAAGAAAGGUGAUAGAGAGAGAUCGUGAAGCUGGGAACGAGCGGUUGUGGAAUGACUACUUCUCCGAAAAUCCUGUGUACACGGAAGAGCUUUUCCGACGAAGGUUUCGAAUGCGAAAGCAUGUGUUCCUCAGAAUUGUAGGGGCCCUUGGGUCUCAUGACCCGUACUUUUUAAUGUCUGUCGAUGCAGUUGGAAGACAAGGCCUGUCACCAUUACAAAAGUGCACCGCCGCUAUUCGUAUGUUGGCGUACGGAUCACCUGCUGACAGUGUUGACGAGUACGUUCGAAUUGGUGAAAGUACUGCAAUUGAGUGCUUAAAGAAUUUUGUGGAAGGUGUGUGUGCAGUAUUUGGUGGAACAUACUUGAGGCGCCCGAACCAGGAAGACAUUACCCGCUUACUUCAAUGGGGCGAGUCUCGUGGAUUUCCAGGUAUGUUGGGUUCUAUUGAUUGUAUGCAUUGGGAAUGGAAGAAUUGUCCAGUUGCGUGGAAAGGUCAAUUCACCCGAGGUGAUCAUGGAAAGCCUACAAUCAUGCUUGAAGCAGUGGCAUCACAAGACUUGUGGAUUUGGCAUGCAUUUUUUGGCAUUGCAGGUUCUAACAAUGACAUUAAUGUGCUAAAUCAAUCUCCGGUUUUUAAUGAGGUUUUGAGUGGAAAUGCUCCCAUGGUGAACUUUAGCGUGAAUGGAACAAUGUAUAACAUGGGAUACUAUCUAGCAGACGGUAUCUAUCCCCCGUGGGCUACAUUUGUGAAGACCAUCCCAAUGCCGCAAGGAGAAAAAAGGCAAAAAUUUGCGAAAAGACAAGAAGGAGCAAGAAAGGACGUUGAACGUGCAUUCGGCGUUCUCCAAUCUCGGUUUGCAAUAGUUCGUGGUCCAUCACGCUUUUGGCAUCCGAAUGAGAUGAAGUCAAUAAUGUAUGCUUGCAUCAUAUUGCACAACAUGAUUGUUGAAGAUGAGCGCAACACGUACCGAGGUAAUUUUGUUUAUGAUCAGGUCAAUAAUGACAUAUUGGAUGCUGAAGUAGUAAGUGGUCCUAUUCCCGCUUUUAGAAAUAUCUUGGAAAGAAGAGCACAUCAAAUUGAUAGGUCAAUUCAUCACCAGCUUCAAGCAGACUUGGUGGAGCAUAUUUGGCAGCUUCCCGAAAACGAGAAUAAUGAAAAUUAACCUUCAAGUGUUAUUAUGUAUUUCAUUUCAAAUGUAUUGUUGCUUAUUUUUCAUUGUCAUGUAUUUUCUUUCGUCUUUAUUUCUAUCAUUCAAUAAAAUUGUUUUUGCUAGAAAUAACACAAUGUACUUUUUUAUUUUUGUUUCAAGUUAGCAUGCCGAUAUUUAAAUUUAAUUGUUUUAAAUAUUAAGUAAAAUUAAAUUUAAAUUAAAUUCGUAUUAAUUUUAAUUAAAUUAUUUUUAAGUUGAAGUAUUGAUUUAGUAUUAAAUUUUAAAUCUAAAUUGAGUGAAAAUAAAUAUUAUUAAUUUAUGUUGUAUGGUGGGACACGGGUGGGACCCUUCAAAUAGUAAUUUAAGAAACCAUGGGUUGGAGCAAAAUCUGCUUCAGUUUCUUAGGAGUUUCUUAAGUCUGAUGUGGCAGACAGGGCCCACAUGAAUAGUGCUGAAUAGUGUGUUAAGAAACCAGAUAAGAAUUUUGGGGUUGGAGUUGCUCUAAGUACCCCUACAAUCAAGGUUGCUGGACGAAUUUAUCAUGAUUUAAAGCUCUUUGAAGCUCCUGUGGGGGAUUGAAGGCCCAGCUACCAAAGAGAUCUCCAUUGAGGCCUCGCUUCAUGUGAAUUUGUUGCCCUAUGUGAUGUGAAUAAUGUGAUCUUGAACCCCAAAACUGCUGACAUGGCCAAAAAGUAAUCGAGAUACACUUCAGUUUAGGAGUUAAAUUUGGGAAAAUCUAAUCUAAUAUGCACAAAAUAUUCUUUGUGUAACCUUAGACCAUGAGCAAUGGUUGUUGAAAAAAUGUUGUUUACCUUUUCUCAACCUCAUUUUUUCUCUUCUCAACACUACACAUCAUCUUCUCUCCAAUUUAACACACUCUCAACAAUUACUCACUCCAAUGGUUUUCUCUCUCAACACCCUACCCCACCACUUUUUUAUUUCAUAUUUUUAUUUAAUUUUAUAUUUUUGUUUUUAUUAUUUACAUAAAAUUACAAUUAUUGUUUUAAAUUAAAUUAAACAAUAAACACUUAACAAAUUAAUUUUUUUUAAUAUAGACAAUAAUUUAUUUUAUUUCCUUAACUUAAAAAUGGAAGAUGACAAACUAAGCACACAAUAAUUUAUUUUAUUUUCUUAACUUAAAAUGCAAGACAACAAACUAAGCACACAACACACAAAUAACGUAAUUAGUACGAUACAAAUCAUCUUCCAUCACAAAGCAUUUGCAAACUUUGUCCAUAUGUGCUUCACUAGAUCUGCUUGCAGUUCGUAAUGAACGUUCGAAUCACGCAACUCGGAUCUAACACGCACAUGAUUUGCAAAAGCGGGUAACACCUCGGUCGAGUAUGGUUGCGGUGUACUAGAUCUACCUUCCCCAGAUUGCUCAAAAUCGGUCCAACGUUGAGCAUAUGAAUCUCGUUCAUCCUCAACAAUCAUAUUAUAUAAUAUGAUGCAUGACCUCAUAAUGAUACCCAAAUCAGCUAUGUCCCACAAACGAGCUGGUUCACGGAUGAUUUUAAAACGAGCUUGAAGCACUCCAAAUGCACGUUCGAUGUCCUUCCGACAUCCCUCCUGAACUUGUGCAAACAACUUAUCGGGUUCACUUUGAGGAAGUCUAAUCGAUUUGACGAAAGUUGGAUAAGAAGGGUAGAUACCAUCAGUUAGAUAGUAUGUCAUAUUAUAGGGAUGUUGAUUCACAAAGAAAUUCACAUUUGGAGCAUUUCCCUGUUGCACGUCAUCAAACACUGGUGACCGAUCUAGAACGUUUAUGUCGUUCAACGUUCCCGGACAACCAAAAAAGACAUGCCAGAUCCAUAGAUCAUGAGAUGCAACUGCUUCAAGAAUAACCGUUGUGGUUCCCUUAUCCCCUCUAGUAAAUUGACAUUCUCAUGCUUUAGGACAAUUUUUCCACUCCCAGUGCAUGCAGUCAAUACUCCCGAUCAUGCCUAGGAACCCCCGCAUUUCACUAACAUGUAGUAUUUUUUGCAUGUCAUCUUCGGUUGGUGCUCUAAGGUACUCGUGCUCAUACAAUCGUAUGAUUCCUUUACAGAAUCUACGUAAACACUCCAGUGUUGUAGUACCUCCGAUUUUGAUGUACCCAUCGACUGCAUCUGCUGCCACACCAUAUGCUAACAUUCGCAUUGCUGUGGUACAUUUUGCCAAGGGUGAUAUUCCUUCUUUAUAGGCUGCAUCAACUCGCUGGGUGAAGUAGUUAUCACUACUUGAAAGGUCCGCAACGAUUCGAAGGAAAACAUGUUUUUGCAUCCUAUACCGACGACGAAACAUUGCAUCGUCAUAUGUAGGCUCAUUGGCAAAGUAGUCCUCAAUUAGCCUUCGGUUUGCCACUGCAUGAUCUCUACUGACAUAUUUUCUGCUACGAGGUGCCCUAUCUUCCAAUAUUUUGUUUCGACGCUCCCUAACUUGGUUGAGUAUAAAAGCUUCUUCAAGUUCAGAAUUUUGAAGGUAUGUUGCCAUAUCAAAAGGAUUUUGAACUGGAUUUUCAAAAGGAUCCAUUUGUUUUGAAAUUGGAAGAGAUUUGGGAUAUUGAUUGUUGUGAUUUUCACAAGAAUUCGAAGUAGACUGGAAGAGAUUUGGGAUAUUGGUACAUCAAUAGAUCUAUGAAUCCAUAUAUAUAAGUACAUUGAAUGGUGAACACUGGCGGAAUCGAAAUAAGUUAUCAACUAGAGUUAAUAAUCGGAAAAUGACAAGAUUCGAAUUGAGUGGAACAUAUUCAAACACAAUAACCCAUACAUAAAGCCAAGCACUACAGACUUGACACCACUGGCGGAUUCGAAAUAAGUUAUCAACUAGAGUUAAUAAUCGGAAAAGGACAAGAUUCGAAUUGAGUGGAACAUAUUCAAACACAAUAACCCAUACAUUAAAGCCAAGCACUACAGACUUGAUACCACUGGCGGAUUCGAAAUAAGUUAUCAACUAGAGUUAAUAAUCGGAAAAGGACAAGAUUCGAAUUGAGUGGAACAUAUUCAAACACAAUAACCCAUACAUUAAAGCCAAGCGCUACAGACUUGACACCACUGGCGGAUUCGAAAUAAGUUAUCAACUAGAGUUAAUAAUCGGAAAAGGACAAGAUUCGAAUUGAGUGGAACAUAUUCAAACACAAUAAUCCAUACAUUAAAGCCAAACACUACAUAAUUGUUCACGGUUGGCUCCGUCUUUGGUGCUCUGCACUGACCGGCAUUAUGCCCCAUUUUGUUACAAUUAAAGCAUUUGGGCCUCGUGUCGGGACAAGCAUUAGCAUAGUGCCCCGGCUUCCCACAUCUGAAACAGGUCAUCUCCCUGUUCAAAGUCCGAUCUCCAGAACCACCAGCAGUACCCGUCAUGGGUCUGUAAGAUCCUGAAGUAAACCCUUUUUCAGCAGGACGCUGAUAUGGCCUCCCGCUCUGAAAUUUCCCUUUGUCUUGAAAAUUUUGAGAACCUGAUCUCAUCGGCCCUCCAGUUCCAGCACGGUUCAACCUCCUAUUCUUCAUCAGCUCCACUUCUGUGGCUUUCUCCACCAACGACUGGAAACGCAUGAUUCCUAGCGACCUCACUGAGUCCUCAAUAUCAGGCCUCAGUCCAUUAACAAAACGCUUACACAUGUAGCGCUCAUCCACAUGAUCGUUGAAAAACUGAAAAUGCUUCGCUAGAGAUUCCAACUUGGAAGCAAAUUCUGGUACAGACAUACCUCCUUGUCGGAGUGUCAGAAACUGUGCCUCCCGCUCAUCUCGAGCACUUGUUGGAAAAUACUUUUCCAAGAACGCAAUUCGAAAGGAGUUCCAGUUGAUCUCCUCGUGGUUGUCUUCCAUAAUCCCCCUGGUGCCCUUCCACCAGUACUCAGCAUCACCGAGCAGCAGAUAAGUUGCCAUACCCAACUUGGCACCAUCAACAGUUUGUAAAAUGCCGAAUAUCUUCUCAACUUCCUGGAUCCAGAGAUCCGCUUUGUCUGGGUCAGUACCACCAGAGAACUUUGGUGGAUUUUGCCUCCUGAAAUCAUUCAGGCCUUUGUUUUGGUCGAGAGUUACCUCUCUCUGACGCUGAUGUUGUUCACGUGCUUCUUCAGCAGCACGCCUCAUAGCAUUAUCAUUCGCUUGUGCCGUCACAGCUUGGGCCAUAGUGGCCAUCAUCUCAGCUAACUGGUUAGUGUUCACCAUGUUCUGUUAAGUUAAACAAACAGUUAGUACUCAUCAUAAGAUAGCAUCUAGUAUAACUAUACAAUAUGAUUAAGCAAUAACUUCAAUCAAUUCUAAGCGAAAAAUUGCUUGCAGACAAUCAAUUCUCACUCUUUGCAGAGUCACACAACCUAGCACAGAAGACCUAUUCCCCAACAACUCCCGAAAGACUCGACCGUGCUCUGAUACCACAAUGUAACACCCCGAAAGCAAAAGGUACAAUCCAAAAGAAAGGUCAAGUGUCUGCAACACUGUCCCUCAAAAUAAGAAUAAGUCAGCCCAAACGGCCUAAAACAAGACCCCCUAGUCCAACCAACUCUCUGUGAUUUCCGUAGAGAAAUCACACAAAAAGCUAUCGGCGGGAAACUACCAUGUCCCCAAAGAAAACAAUGACGGUCAGAGCUAAGACUUUACUCCUACACUAAUCCCAUCUCGAGGAGCUCACACCAGCACUAAAACCUACAUGCUAGCAUGAUCGUCGUCCGAAUUCGAAAUCCAGAACGACCUAGUCUAUGUACACCAUCCGUCCUCCUCUCGCGACCGCGAUGCGCUCCUGUUCCAGCAUCCCAACCCUAGUUCCCCCCGAAGGGUGAACCGUCGUGAACCAGCCCGCCAAAGACAUCUGACAAAGGGCGUAGUCCGCCAAAGCACACACAGAAGACGCGAGGGUCAACUCCAAAGAAUUAUGUAAAUAUUAAACCCAAUAGGUACAGAUAAUAGAAUAGCCACUCAGGCUUAUAGUUAGGGAUAACAUCCUAGGGUUGCAUAUUCCACAAUGAAUGUAAACAACAACAAUAACAAAUAGCAUGCAUCAAAUAGGAUUAUCAAUUAUCAAUCACACUCAGCAACUAAGUCAGUAUGCAUGUUGCAUGAAAUGAUAUGACGGUUAACCCAGUUAACCAAAUGCAUUCCGGAAACGGAUGGGCAUCAAACGGAUCAAUCCUAGCACCAGCAACGGUGGGACCAUUUCUGCCGGCGUGCCUCUUACUCCAACAACAAUGGUAGUCAGAUCAGCCGUAACCCGUAGGUCUGCCAUUUCGGUAUGCUACAAGAGUCGUCUACAAACGCUCUUACACGGAAAUCCGUGUCUUAUGACCAUUUUGGAAUCCGACGACAUUUUGGAAUCCACCGAGGUCCGGUAUCACGCCGUGUAUUAACCUCCUAUGUAUGCAUGAAUGCAAUGCGAUUAGCCAAACAACGUCUCCGACCUCACUCGACACGUCGCCACGUGUUCUAGCUAACUUAAUGUCUCUAAAAAGCAUACCCUAAGGUAAAUCUCGAUUCUGCGACAAAAUACAAUAAUCAUAAAAUGAGUGCAAACACUCACGAUAACUCUUCGAGUCACCCAUACUCUCACGAAGUCUCACGCUUCAGUGGAGUCUCACACAUUCACAGAGUCUCAUGCUUCGGUGAAGUUUUAUGCUUUCACGGGGUCUCACGCCCCAGUGAAUUUACACACUUGCACGAAGUCUCACGCUUCAGUGAAGUUCCAUGCUAUUCACGAGGUCUCACGCCUCAGUAAAGAUCCAUGCUUUCCACAAGGUCUCACGCCUCAAUGGAGUAUCCCGCAUUCACAAGGUCUCACGCCUCAGUGAAGCUUCAUGUUGUUCACGAGGUCUCACGCCUCAGUGAAGAUCCAUGCUUUCCACAAGGUCUCACGCCUCAGUGGAGUAUCAACAUACUCGGAAACUAUCAAUUUCCCGGCUUAUCCCUCGGAUAGCCCAACAACAUAACUGCUCCAACAGCACAAGAGUAACAACAUACUCAAAACUUCUCAACAUUCUCAUAACUUGGGAUCCGACGACACUUCUCGCUUUCCAAAACUAAGAUUUGCAUCCUAAGCUUCCUUUCGAGUUUAUUAUCAUUAUUUGAAGAUUUAGAGGUUGUUUAAUGUCUUAUGAGUUUUCUUUACAAAAUAAUAUCCUUUUAGUCUUAUCGCAAAUCCUAUAAGUUCUCGGGAUCUCCUAAUCCCCAAAUGACACCAGAGAAUGUCUCGAUCCAUGAAACACCAUAACAAGGCCCGAAUCUCAUUCGUCCUAUCAAACUUUCUCAAAACUCUCAAAAUAAAAUCGGCAUGACCUGCCCGCUAUUCUCACUACUCAGAAACACAGAUAUCAGCGAAAGACAUAAUUAAAUCAUCACAGUCCACAAACAUGUCAUAUAUCAAUACACCUCAGAAUAAACACGUAGCACUUAGCAUAUAAAGCAUGCACCACACAUCCUAGAUUAACCACAUAGCACAUAGCAUGUAAGUCAAUCUCAAAAACAGUCAGUAGAUAAAUCAUCUACAUUGUCAGCCGAAGCCUCAGAAAACAUUUUUCCAAUCAACCACAAACAAGUGCAUAAACAGUAAAUCAAUGUCGAAAGCAUCGACCCUAAGCAUUAACUAAAGAUUCAGUGAGUAGCCCUCACCUGAAGAUUCUCCAGGGUUCCCGUCUAGCGUUCCUUCACAAUCAAGACCUUGCUCCUCUGGAAAUUCCUCAAAAGCACCUUUAGAGCAAAACCACAUAAAUCAAUCAAAAUCUAUCGGAAACUAAGAUAUCAAUACUCACUAAGGUUACACGAAGUAGUAUAUACUCCGAGGUACGAUAAUCUAGCGCGAAAGGACAAGUUUUCGAAAAAGGGAUUUUCCUCCUCCCCCCUUAGAGUGCUCGGCCACUAUUGGUAAUUGUGGGGUUCGAUUUUUCUUCGAUCAAACUUGGUUCCUAUGCUAUCAUUAGCCGUAACUAAGGGUAUUCUAAACUCGGAAAAAUUAUCGGAUCGAAAACUGUCGCAGGGGUAUUUUGGUCAAUAUUUUUAGCUCAGAAUUUCAAAACUGAAAUUUCGAAAAACAAAUUGGAUGGGGACGUCACCAACGACGUUUAUGACAACUAAUCCUACUAGCACUAAGCUAAGGCGAUAGUUUUCAGCCCAAAGGACGAAGCUUUGCCCCAAAAUCGGCGCAGUAUUAUUAGCUAAACAUACUCAGGAGAACGUAGGGAAGAUGUUUAGAAUCAAAAAUGAGAUAUUCAGGAUAGUUUUGCAAAAACCUCAAAACUAUGAGCACAGAAAGACAUAGAGAAAAGCUAUGGAAAAAGCGAUCAGAGGUAAGGAUUAGCGACUAUACCUCGAAACCUUGAAGUAGCAACUGUUUAAUCGAUGAUCAAGCAAGAAAUGAAGAAAACUCUUCUUCCUCUUCCUCUUGGUGAGCUCGCGGGUUUUGGAGAGAAAAUGGUGGAGAAUUGUGAUAUUUUCUCAUUUUCUUGGCUAUAUAUAGUGGUUGGCAAAACGCGGGAAAAUGAAAGUUUCGCGAAUCUGAUUUUUCCGGCUUCAUUCUCCGUGAAUUCUAAGAUAGGUUUUGGCGACAUAAAUCCAAAACUCAAAAGAGGUUCCCUAGUAUUUUAAGUGACUAAUGCAAAGUCGGUGUAAAACUAUUUUACCCGAUAAGUUACUUUUUGCAUCGAAUGUCGGAAUAGAAAACUUCCUUCUGAAGAAAGAUUGAAAUCAUCAAGAGAAAUGGGUGUACGCGUGUAGAAUCUUCAUUUGAAGCUCCGAAUAGAAAAAGUCUUCAUUGUCGGUUGAUUCUAGGGUUUUGAAAUACCAGGGUUUCGGUUUCGGCAAACUUCCGAUGAUUGGAAUCGGACGUUCGUAGAUCCUAGAGUUUCGCCUCGAAACGAUUGUUAUAUAUGGAAUAAGAGAAGUUCUAACAUUUCUCUGAAGAUUUUUGGACUAAAUUCCUACAGUGUUCCAAGGGUGGAAGAUUUUUGGAAAUUUUAUUCCUAUAGUGUUCCAAGGGUGGAAGAUUAGUCUUUUCCUGAACUUUCUCCUUCAUAAAUUUAUUUCAUUAAAUAAACUCUUAUUCAGGUUUCCCUUCUCAAUAUAUCAACCCUAAUCGUGAAUAAGAAAUUUAUUCACUUAACAUAAGCUUAAAACUUGGGUCUUACAUUACUACCCUCCAAAAAGAAAGUUUCGACCUCGAAACUUAAGGGUCAGUAAAAAUUCUGAAUAUUGUUCUUGAUCUUUUCCUCUAACUCUCAUAUGGCACCGUCUGUGUCUUUGUUCCAAAUAACUCUUACUAAAGCACUCUGCUUUCCCUUCGAUUGUUUCACUCUUCUAGUCCCAAUGUUGACCGACGGCGUCUCAAAAGACAUAUCAUCGUCCAGCUCUAUGUUGUCCGGUUCGACCACUUGCGUCGGGUCUCCGUUGGAAAUAAAAUAUUGUUGGCAUUCGUGCAAUCGCACAACCUUAACCACUUACUCAUUUGCUUUUGUUCGUCCAAAAUGCUGAUUAGAAACUCGGUACAUCUCUAUGUUCCGGAGUGAAUGCUCAACUUGUCCUCGUGAUGUUCACUCAUGAUCCAAACUCAACUCGGUCGCUUGAUAACUCCUAGACGAGUUAUUGCCUUGGAAUCUACUAGUUCAUUAUCGUCACUUCCAACCUCGUAACUAUCAUCACUCGCACCACGAAAUCAAUCUUCUCCUUAGUCACCGUUCAAAUUAAAAACUCCACUUGAGUCUUAAUACCUCGUGCAUGACAAGACUCAUCCCCUUAAUCAUCAAUUCAUCGACCACUCAUAAGCUAUUCAUCCUCUUAAUAUCCAACAAUCCAUUAUUGUCGUCUUCGUCCUCAAAACCUUCCUCACUCAAACCAAUUUAAACUCACUGAAAUCCCUAACACUUCGCAUAAAUCGAGACUUAACCUAUAGAAGAUCAAAUCAUAACUAUACCUCAAGGGACUUAACUAGUCAUUUCGUCAUCUCAUCCUUCAACUUACUGUCAUCCAGCUCAAUAGCAUAUGUCAGAUCCGCAAUAUACUUCCGUUUUAGAUGCAUCGGUGGAAGAUUACUUCCUAGGCUUAGCAUGUUAUCCUAAACUUCGUGUACUUCUAUAGUUUAAACACGAGCAAUAACUGAGUAAAGUCUUAAUAGGUGUACUAACUAUAAGGUCAAAGCUCAGACAGUAUAAGUAAGUUUGGUGUGUUUGCACACGCUACGAGAGUAAUGAAACAUAUUAUACUAGAAUGAGAAAGAAUGGUUAGAAGGUUACCAUCGUUCUUGCGCUCUCCUGUGACAAACCCCUCAGCUCUCUCACCGUCCAUGGUGUAAACUCUUGCUUUAGCCGUAGGACGCUUUCCACGAGCAGUGUUCACGGUUGGCUCCGUCUUGGGUGCUCUGCACUGACCGGCAUUAUGCCCCAUUUUGUUACAAUUAAAGCAUUUGGGCCUCGUGUCGGGACAAGCAUUAGCAUAGUGCCCCGGCUUCCCACAUCUGAAACAGGUCAUCUCCCUGUUCAAAGUCCGAUCUCCAGAACCACCAGCAGUACCCGUCAUGGGUCUGUAAGAUCCUGAAGUAAACCCUUUUUCAGCAGGACGCUGAUAUGGCCUCCCGCUCUGAAAUUUCCCUUUGUCUUGAAAAUUUUGAGAACCUGAUCUCAUCGGCCCUCCAGUUCCAGCACGGUUCAACCUCCUAUUCUUCAUCAGCUCCACUUCUGUGGCUUUCUCCACCAACGACUGGAAACGCAUGAUUCCUAGCGACCUCACUGAGUCCUCAAUAUCAGGCCUCAGUCCAUUAACAAAACGCUUACACAUGUAGCGCUCAUCCACAUGAUCGUUGAAAAACUGAAAAUGCUUCGCUAGAGAUUCCAACUUGGAAGCAAAUUCUGGUACAGACAUACCUCCUUGUCGGAGUGUCAGAAACUGUGCCUCCCGCUCAUCCCGAGCACUUGUUGGAAAAUACUUUUCCAAGAACGCAAUUCGAAAGGAGUUCCAGUUGAUCUCCUCGUGGUUGUCUUCCAUAAUCCCCCUGGUGCCCUUCCACCAGUACUCAGCAUCACCGAGCAGCAGAUAAGUUGCCAUACCCAACUUGGCACCAUCAACAGUUUGUAAAACGCCGAAUAUCUUCUCAACUUCCUGGAUCCAGAGAUCCGCUUUGUCUGGGUCAGUACCACCAGAGAACUUUGGUGGAUUUUGCCUCCUGAAAUCAUUCAGGCCUUUGUUUUGGUCGAGAGUUACCUCUCUCUGACGCUGAUGUUGUUCACGUGCUUCUUCAGCAGCACGCCUCAUAGCAUUAUCAUUCGCUUGUGCCGUCACAGCUUGGGCCAUAGUGGCCAUCAUCUCAGCUAACUGGUUAGUGUUCACCAUGUUCUGUUAAGUUAAACAAACAGUUAGUACUCAUCAUAAGAUAGCAUCUAGUAUAACUAUACAAUAUGAUUAAGCAAUAACUUCAAUCAAUUCUAAGCGAAAAAUUGCUUGCAGACAAUCAAUUCUCACUCUUUGCAGAGUCACACAACCUAGCACAGAAGACCUAUUCCCCAACAACUCCCGAAAGACUCGACCGUGCUCUGAUACCACAAUGUAACACCCCGAAAGCAAAAGGUACAAUCCAAAAGAAAGGUCAAGUGUCUGCAACACUGUCCCUCAAAAUAAGAAUAAGUCAGCCCAAACGGCCUAAAACAAGACCCCCUAGUCCAACCAACUCUCUGUGAUUUCCGUAGAGAAAUCACACAAAAAGCUAUCGGCGGGAAACUACCAUGUCCCCAAAGAAAACAAUGACGGUCAGAGCUAAGACUUUACUCCUACACUAAUCCCAUCUCGAGGAGCUCACACCAGCACUAAAACCUACAUGCUAGCAUGAUCGUCGUCCGAAUUCGAAAUCCAGAACGACCUAGUCUAUGUACACCAUCCGUCCUCCUCUCGCGACCGCGAUGCGCUCCUGUUCCAGCAUCCCAACCCUAGUUCCCCCCGAAGGGUGAACCGUCGUGAACCAGCCCGCCAAAGACAUCUGACAAAGGGCGUAGUCCGCCAAAGCACACACAGAAGACGCGAGGGUCAACUCCAAAGAAUUAUGUAAAUAUUAAACCCAAUAGGUACAGAUAAUAGAAUAGCCACUCAGGCUUAUAGUUAGGGAUAACAUCCUAGGGUUGCAUAUUCCACAAUGAAUGUAAACAACAACAAUAACAAAUAGCAUGCAUCAAAUAGGAUUAUCAAUUAUCAAUCACACUCAGCAACUAAGUCAGUAUGCAUGUUGCAUGAAAUGAUAUGACGGUUAACCCAGUUAACCAAAUGCAUUCCGGAAACGGAUGGGCAUCAAACGGAUCAAUCCUAGCACCAGCAACGGUGGGACCAUUUCUGCCGGCGUGCCUCUUACUCCAACAACAAUGGUAGUCAGAUCAGCCGUAACCCGUAGGUCUGCCAUUUCGGUAUGCUACAAGAGUCGUCUACAAACGCUCUUACACGGAAAUCCGUGUCUUAUGACCAUUUUGGAAUCCGACGACAUUUUGGAAUCCACCGAGGUCCGGUAUCACGCCGUGUAUUAACCUCCUAUGUAUGCAUGAAUGCAAUGCGAUUAGCCAAACAACGUCUCCGACCUCACUCGACACGUCGCCACGUGUUCUAGCUAACUUAAUGUCUCUAAAAAGCAUACCCUAAGGUAAAUCUCGAUUCUGCGACAAAAUACAAUAAUCAUAAAAUGAGUGCAAACACUCACGAUAACUCUUCGAGUCACCCAUACUCUCACGAAGUCUCACGCUUCAGUGGAGUCUCACACAUUCACAGAGUCUCACGCUUCGGUGAAGUUUUAUGCUUUCACGGGGUCUCACGCCCCAGUGAAUUUACACACUUGCACGAAGUCUCACGCUUCAGUGAAGUUCCAUGCUAUUCACGAGGUCUCACGCCUCAGUAAAGAUCCAUGCUUUCCACAAGGUCUCACGCCUCAAUGGAGUAUCCCGCAUUCACAAGGUCUCACGCCUCAGUGAAGCUUCAUGUUGUUCACGAGGUCUCACGCCUCAGUGAAGAUCCAUGCUUUCCACAAGGUCUCACGCCUCAGUGGAGUAUCAACAUACUCGGAAACUAUCAAUUUCCCGGCUUAUCCCUCGGAUAGCCCAACAACAUAACUGCUCCAACAGCACAAGAGUAACAACAUACUCAAAACUUCUCAACAUUCUCAUAACUUGGGAUCCGACGACACUUCUCGCUUUCCAAAACUAAGAUUUGCAUCCUAAGCUUCCUUUCGAGUUUAUUAUCAUUAUUUGAAGAUUUAGAGGUUGUUUAAUGUCUUAUGAGUUUUCUUUACAAAAUAAUAUCCUUUUAGUCUUAUCGCAAAUCCUAUAAGUUCUCGGGAUCUCCUAAUCCCCAAAUGACACCAGAGAAUGUCUCGAUCCAUGAAACACCAUAACAAGGCCCGAAUCUCAUUCGUCCUAUCAAACUUUCUCAAAACUCUCAAAAUAAAAUCGGCAUGACCUGCCCGCUAUUCUCACUACUCAGAAACACAGAUAUCAGCGAAAGACAUAAUUAAAUCAUCACAGUCCACAAACAUGUCAUAUAUCAAUACACCUCAGAAUAAACACGUAGCACUUAGCAUAUAAAGCAUGCACCACACAUCCUAGAUUAACCACAUAGCACAUAGCAUGUAAGUCAAUCUCAAAAACAGUCAGUAGAUAAAUCAUCUACAUUGUCAGCCGAAGCCUCAGAAAACAUUUUUCCAAUCAACCACAAACAAGUGCAUAAACAGUAAAUCAAUGUCGAAAGCAUCGACCCUAAGCAUUAACUAAAGAUUCAGUGAGUAGCCCUCACCUGAAGAUUCUCCAGGGUUCCCGUCUAGCGUUCCUUCACAAUCAAGACCUUGCUCCUCUGGAAAUUCCUCAAAAGCACCUUUAGAGCAAAACCACAGAAAUCAAUCAAAAUCUAUCGGAAACUAAGAUAUCAAUACUCACUAAGGUUACACAAAGUAGUAUAUACUCCGAGGUACGAUAAUCUAGCGCGAAAGGACAAGUUUUCGAAAAAGGGAGUUUCCUCCUCCCCCCUUAGAGUGCUCGGCCACUAUUGGUAAUUGUGGGGUUCGAUUUUUCUUCGAUCAAACUUGGUUCCUUUGCUAUCAUUAGCCGUAACUAAGGGUAUUCUAAACUCGGAAAAAUUAUCGGAUCGAAAACUGUCGCAGGGGUAUUUUGGUCAAUAUUUUUAGCUCAGAAUUUCAAAACUGAAAUUUCGAAAAACAAAUUGGAUGGGGACGUCACCAACGACGUUUAUGACAACUAAUCCUACUAGCACUAAGCUAAGGCGAUAGUUUUCAGCCCAAAGGACGAAGCUUUGCCCCAAAAUGGGUAUUUUCACCAGAAUUGAAACUCGACGGUAGUUUUUCGAGAAUCGGCGCAGUAUUAUUAGCUAAACAUACUCAGGAGAACGUAGGGAAGAUGUUUAGAAUCAAAAAUGAGAUAUUCAGGAUAGUUUUGCAAAAACCUCAAAACUAUGAGCACAGAAAGACAUAGAGAAAAGCUAUGGAAAAAGCGAUCAGAGGUAAGGAUUAGCGACUAUACCUCGAAACCUUGAAGUAGCAACUGUUUAAUCGAUGAUCAAGCAAGAAAUGAAGAAAACUCUUCUUCCUCUUCCUCUUGGUGAGCUCGCGGGUUUUGGAGAGAAAAUGGUGGAGAAUUGUGAUAUUUUCUCAUUUUCUUGGCUAUAUAUAGAGGUUGGCAAAACGCGGGAAAAUGAAAGUUUCGCGAAUCUGAUUUUUCCGGCUUCAUUCUCCGUGAAUUCUAAGAUAGGUUUUGGCGACAUAAAUCCAAAACUCAAAAGAGGUUCCCUAGUAUUUUAAGUGACUAAUGCAAAGUCGGUGUAAAACUAUUUUACCCGAUAAGUUACUUUUUUCAUCGAAUGUCGGAAUAGAAAACUUCCUUCUGAAGAAAGAUUGAAAUCAUCAAGAGAAAUGGGUGCACGCGUGUAGAAUCUUCAUUUGAAGCUCCGAAUAGAAAAAGUCUUCAUUGUCGGUUGAUUCUAGGGUUUUGAAAUACCAGGGUUUCGGUUUCGGCAAACUUCCGAUGAUUGGAAUCGGACGUUCGUAGAUCCUAGAGUUUCGCCUCGAAAAGAUUGUUAUAUAUGGAAUAAGAGAAGUUCUAACAUUUAUCUGAAGAUUUUUGGACUAAAUUCCUACAGUGUUCCAAGGGUGGAAGAUUUUUGGAAAUUUUAUUCCUAUAGUGUUCCAAGGGUGGAAGAUUAGUCUUUUCCUGAACUUUCUCCUUCAUAAAUUUAUUUCAUUAAAUAAACUCUUAUUCAUGCUUCCCUUCUCAAUACAUCAACCCUAAUCGUGAAUAAGAAAUUUAUUCACUUAACAUAAGCUUAAAACUUGGGUCUUACAAUUAUCCGACCAACCGCUUGCUUGCUGACGCUUAGCGGCAUCAUAAGCGUCAAUCCAUUUACCCAGUAUUUUGUUCAUAUAAUUCCAGCGGUUUCGGCAUGCAUUUCCAUCACGCGGAGGAUCGAAUGAGCAAUGCUCAUUACAAUACUCAGCAAUAUCUCUCCAAAAUGUUUCUCCUCUCUGGUUUUUCCCCACAAUACUACUUGUUCCACAGUUAAUUCACCCACUAAUUAGCACCAAAUUUUGUGCAGUGUUCCAUGCUGGUGACUGGGUUUUCUUGCUCUUAGGAGUUGUAUCCUCUUGAUUUGGAGUGAAUUGAUUUGCAGCUGUCAUGCCACCAAGAGUCAUUUGUGUUGAAAAUUCGGGAAAUUCAGGUGCAUCAACACUUGGAAAAUUUUCAUUCACCAUUGGCAUAUGACCCCUAGACGGGGGUGUUUGAGAUGGAUAUCUCAUAGAGGGAUGAAAGGAUGACUGGUUGGAAUUUGGUGCAAAAUUGUUGGGAUUUUGAGGACAUGGGUAGGAAAAUUGAUUUGAAUCUUGAUAAUUGUUGGGAUUUUGAGGCCGUGGGUAGGAAAAUUGAUUUGGAUCUUCAUAAUUGUUGCGAUUUUGAGGACGUGGGUAGGAAAAUUGAUUUGGAUCUUCAUAAUUGUUGGGAUGCUGAGGACGUUGGUUGAAAUACUGAUUUGGAUCUUGAUAAUUGUUGGGAUUUUGAUGACGUUGGUUGGGAAAAUGAUUUGGAUCUGGAUAAUUGUUGGGAUUUUGGUUGUUAUAUGAGUAGUUAGAUGAAUUCUGGGUGUUGAAAUGAUGAUUGUUGUGAUCCAUUUCAAAAGAAAAGCUAAUAGAAAGAUAGUAAGAUGGUGAGAGAGAUAAUAAGAGAGUGAAAAAACUUGGUUUUUUUUUUCUGUGUCCAAAUCAAACGAACCAAGUCUCUAUUUAUAGAGAAAAAAAAAAUCAUGAAUUUUGGUAUAAUUUUUUUUUUCAGAAAUUUUUUUUUGAUGAAAUAAUUGAGUUCAAAAGAUAAGGAUAAAAGAAAUCCGGCGAGCCAAUCAGAGUCAGACACGUGGCGGUCCCUGCAGAUUAUGACUUUUCCUCUCUCCUCCCAGGCGCGUCACGCGCCUUGUCUGGCCGUGCACGCUACGCGCCUGACGGAGGCCAAUCAAGAGCCGCCACGUGGCGUCCGGGACAACUCUCAACAAUGUUGAGCUUCCUCAACAUUUAUACCCUCCCUCUCUCCUCCACAUCACUCUCAACAUUCUUCAACAACCAUUGCACCAUUUAAACAACUCUCAACAAAAAAUUUCAACAUUCAUUGCACUUGGUCUUACACAAGCGGUGUGUAACCUGCUGCUGUGGCAGGUUUAUCGGUUUUUUAUUUUAAUUUCAAAAUACUCAAAAUAAUAUUUCCCAAUUUAAAAAAAAAACUCAAAAAACUCUCUCUCUCUCUCUCUCUCUCUCUCUCUCACUGCAACCCACGCCCACUGCCACCGCAAACCCCAAUUACCUUAAGCUCCUUCUUCUUCUCUCCUCCCUCCGUCAUAGCUCCCUUUGCAGCAGAACGAGGAGAACGAUACCCAUCUCUUUUCUUCUGUAAAUUUUCAUCCUCUUUGCUUAAAGUUUCCAUCUUUAACAACUUUCCCUCACCAACCAAGUUUUUCUUUUGAGACCUAGAAAGGGAAACAAUCAAAAUCACUCACUCUCACUCAAAAGCUACCACCAUAGCUACAAGGAGUUUGAACAAACACAAGAAGGAACGAGGUCUUAUAGAUUCUCGUACAUGAAAGAACCAUUGAGGUUGUUGUGGACACAAAAUCAUGGAAAAUGUGAGGGAAUGAAGAAGAUCUGGAUGGUAUCAUCACCCAGAUCUACAGAGAGGAGGUGGAGAAGAGAGAGGUGGUAAAAAAAAUUAUUUUUCAGAAAAUAAAAAGAAAAUAAAAUUUGAUUUUUUAAAAAAUAGAAAAUACUUGGUACCUGCUUAGCCCUUAGUUGUGUAAAGUUACACGAAAUAAUUUUUGUGCAUAUUAGAUGCACCCGUUAAAUUUAGGACAUUGAUUUCAGGGGUAAAUAUGUUUUGGUACCCCAAAAUACUAAUAUUGAAUUUGGUCCUCUUUCAUAUUUUCGUUAAUUUUGGUCACUAAAUAACGAAUUUUAUUCUUCCGGUUAUCCAGUCAUUUUUGUGGUGGCUUAGGUAGUGUUUGGCCCAACUUAUUUUUGACUUAAAAGUCACUUUUAAUUGAGAUGAAAUAAUGAAUGUCAAACUUUAAUGACGUGUCAAAUUGUGAUUUGAGGGACAGAGAAAAAGACAGAGGCCAAGGACAAAUGAUUUCCACUCCUCUCUUGUUUCUAUCCUUCCUGCCUUCCAGAAUUAAAUUAGUCCAAAAACCUUAAAUUAGUCCAAGCCCUUCUUCUUCCCUUCCAAAAAAAGGAUUGCCACUCCCUCAUGGUUCCAUGGGUUGGCCUUAUAUUGGAGAGACCUUCCAAACGUAUUCUCAAGACCCUAGUGUCUUCUUUACCUCAAAAAUCAAGAGGUUUGUCAAACCUUUCAAACUUGUUCAUGGAAAUUAGUUCUCAAUUGUGUUAUCAUAUGCAUAUACAUUACUUGGUACUUGUACCGGUCGUACCCCCAAGGGAGUAGAUCAACUGGCACAGGAUUGUUCUGUUCUAACUUAAGCAGAGGUUUCGAGUUGGAGUGUGUGCGCUACUACUUUGUACUUGAAUUGAUUGAUCAUUAAUUUAUUUUCUUCUAUAGGUAUGGAUGGAUAUUCAAGUCUCACAUUCUGGGUUGUCCUUGUGUGAUGAUUUCAAGCCCAGAUGCUACGAAGUUUGUGCUGAACAAAGCUCAACUCUUCAAACCAACAUUUCCUGCUAGCAAAGAGAGGAUGUUGGGGGAAGCAAGCAAUUUUCUUUCACCAAGGAGCAUACCAUGCUAACCUGAGGAGGCUUGUCCUUCGCACCGUCAUGCCUGAGGCCAUCAAGAACAUCGUCUCAAACAUUGAAUCCAUUGCCCAAAGUAGCCUCAAAUCCUGGGAAGGAAAGUCAAUCACCACUUUCCUUGAAAUGAAAACAGUAAGUACUCAACAGAGCACAAAAAACAGAGCAAAACAGAGUGCAAUCCAUUGUUUCUCUGUUCAAAAAAGAAAGAAAAUAAGAAACAAACAUCAAGUUACAAUUUUUCAUUAAUUUCUAUUGUGCAUUGACCAAAUAAUUAAUGGGUUUUUCUUCUGUUAUUCUUAUCUUUUGCAGUAUACCUUCAAUAAUGCCCUGCUUUCAAUUUUUGGAAAUGAUGAAACUCAUUACAGAGAGGAUCUGAAACGAUGCUACUACACCCUUGAGAAAGGGUACAAUUCAAUGCCCAUAAAUCUUCCAGGCACACUUUUCCAUAAGGCAAUGAAGGAGAGGAUAGAGCUCGCGCAGAUUGUAGCAGAUAUUAUUGCCAUAAGGAGGAGCAAGAACCGAGAUUACAAUGACUUGUGGGGAUCUUUCAUGGAAGAGAAAUCAGGCCUCACCGAUGACCAAAUCGCAGAUAACAUGAUUGGUGUCAUUUUUGCUGCUCGUGACACCACUGCCAGCGCUCUUACAUGGAUCAUCAAGUACCUUGAUGAGAAUCCCAAUGUCUUAGAAGUCGUCACCGUAAGUAUCUCGGACCAACCUUUUAUCCCGACAAUAGUGAGUAAUCCUCUCGUCACUGCCGUUACCUUUUAUUCUUAUCUAAUCAUUGGCUUCUAUUGAAAAUUUUCAAUUUAAUGAUAAAAAAUAGAUUUUUACUUGUAGAGUGUACUAGAGUUGAGUUUAAUUUUAGACCUUAUGAACAUUUUUUGGUGUGAAUUUUACAGGAAGAGCAAGAGGCUAUAUUGAAAGGCAAGGAAGAAAGAGGUGAAUAUAUUGGUUUGAAUUGGGGAGACACAAAAAACAUGCCAUUGACUUCAAGGGUGAUACAGGAGACUCUAAGAGUUGCCUCUAUUUUGUCUUUCACAUUCAGAGAAGCAAUAGAGGAUGUUGAAUAUGAAGGUCCUAACCAAAUCUGAUGUGAUAUCUUUUCCUUUAUAGCCCAUGAAUUCCUCUCUUUUUCCUUGUUUGUUUGCUCACAUGUUUUGUGUCGGGGUCAAUUUUUCUUCAGAGUGUCUCAUACCAAAAGGGUGGAAAGUAUUACCUCUUUUCAGAAACUCAUACCAAAAGGGUGGAAAGUAUUACCUCUUUUCAAAAACAUACAUCACAGUCCAGAUAAUUAUACAGAUCCUGAGAAAUUUGAUCCUUCAAGAUUUGAGGUAAUUAUUGCACAGAACUUGUGCAUUCCCCACCUUACUUUUUGUUUGUUUUGUACAUGUUUGGUUUCAGGUUUAAAAUUGUCUUAGAUCUCAAAAUCACAUGAAAUUAAAGCAAUAACAUGUUCACAUUUCAUUUUCUUUUCUAUUACAUUUUCACAUAUUGUCUCUUUUUAUUUCUCUUUACAUUUCUUAACACAUCAUUUAUUAUUCAUUCAUUCUCUCUCUUAUUUUCAUAUCUUUCUAUUAGGUGUAGGUGAAAGAGUGUGAACCAAUAUUUUUUUUUAAAUUACACCUAGGAAUUUCAGAGUGUGCUAACACACGGAAGCCUCCAACACACUUCCAAUUGAGCACUAAGUACUAUUCAUGUGAUUUUGAGUCCAAUCUUGACGUGUUAUGUCGAUUGUUUUGCCAGGUUGCUCCGAAAUCCAACACUUUUAUGCCAUUUGGCACUGGGAUCCAUGCAUGUCCAGGCAAUGAAUUGGCAAAGUUAGAGAUUUUGGUGCUUAUUCAUCAUCUGACCACAAAGUACAGGUUGGUAAACUGAAUCAUUACCAAUUUCAAUGAAUGUUUAUAAACUCAUUUGAAAACCAUGGUGAAAAUUAAAAUCACAAUGAGUAAUAAUAGCUUCUUUAACUUUUUUUUUUUCUCCACCAUUUUCAGUGCAAUUUUUAAAUAAGUUUCUAACAAUGCAUUCAGUCUCAUUGCAACCAAUUUGGUGGGGAUAUUUCAAAAUUGUAUAGUAAUUUUUAUACUUUAGAAUGAUUCUGAAUGUAGUUAUUAUGAAUUAUUCUGCAGGUGGUCUGUAAUAGGUCCAAAAAGUGGGAUUCAGUAUGGUCCUUUUGCUCUUCCCCAAAGUGGCUUGCCAAUCGCAUUUACCGCAAAUGAAUAUCGCCUCAACAAAAAGACUAACUAUGGCAUGGAAGAAACUUUCUAAAUAUAUAACUUCAAGAAUUUGUUUAAACUUUGUUCAAAAAAGUGUAGAACAAAAAAAACCUUAUAGGGAAAGAUCACUCCUUCCCUUUACUUUUUGGCCAAGAGACACCUGAAGGGGGUCUUGAGAUUAUUGUACAAAUAGGGACCCUCCUUCAAUAUGUGACCUCAUUCUUUCAUAUCAUCCGUUUCAUUGUCUACUUCUUUCACAUGAUCCACCUUGAUAUGAUCCCCUUUAGCCACAUUAUCGACUUUCUCAAUGAGCACAUGAGACAUGAUUAGUGUGGCGUCCCUCUUCCACAAGUGACAUAUUCAUCCAACUCCUAUCACUUAUGAAUGAGUGAGCCGGUUUUUUUGUUGUUGUCGCAUUAGUGUAAGUGUUAGCGUUACCUUUCUAAUGGUGCAUCGAUUCAGAGACCACUUACGACUUCUCACAGUCGCAGAGUUCCCCUCUAACCUUUUCAGAUGGAUGACCGUACACCUAAAGGCAAGCAAAUUAGCACACAAUGAAACAUUAAACACAUAGCAUACGUGGCCAAGGCCACUAUAAAGUUUGAAUGACAGAAGCAAGAAAGCGUUCAAGUGAGGGUAUACACAUCCCCUCAAGGCAUCAUCAAACAUAAACUUAAUUAAUUAAGAAAAUUGGUGAGAACUAUCAUCGGACCAUACGACUUCACUCCCCAACCUCCUCCUCUUCCGGAUCCUCCUCCAUGUCACCACUGCUCCCCUCCUCCGGCACUAGCAUAAGCACUCUCUCCCCAAUCCACCGGGUUUCACGAACCGCUGUCUGUAUAUUCGGGCAUCUCUGGAAAAGCUUGGUGACCGCACCCUCUUCCUUGCUAUCGACCUGAGACGAGGCGCAGUCCUCCGGGGCGGAGAACCUAAUGGCUCCUGAGGUGCUUGAGUAGGCGCAAAGAGCUCCUGUGGGCUCCUGACUCGGAUCGGUACGGGUCGGAAUGGCUCAUCCUGGGGCAUAGGGUCCACACCAACCUGCGGAUCAGGACACAAUCCGGCCUGGGGCGCUGGAUCCACCUUCGGCUGAGGCUGUGGUGGCGCAUCGGGAACGGGCGGACGGAACCUCCGGGUAUGCCUCAGCAUAUAGAAUGAGAACAUGAGGGGUAUGGUCACUGGGUAGCCAAGCUCAUCUGAUCCGGGUACCCUGCACCACAACAUGGUCAGUCCAGAAUAAAAACAGAAACCGGUAGCGGGGUCAAGGUGCCAGCCAGUGCGGGACGGGAAGUCAGCAUGAAUGGUGAGUACUGGAGGGAGGCUCAUCUUCUAACUUGUGAUCUGCUUUAUGGUAAAAAUAAUGCAAGGGUGAGUCAAACACGACUUUGCACAAGCCACAUGUCAAAUAAAAUAAACGAUAAAGUUCAAGAUAACAUACUAUUAAAAACAAGCAUGUUAACAAGCACAUAGAGAUCACACAGAGUAUGAGGUUUUACCGCCUUAUAUCUUCGUCCUUCGAAUUGACUUCUCUCACUACUUCUUUACGAAAUGGUGAGUUCAUCGCCAACCCUUUUUAAUUGUAUUUAUCAUGUGAUGAGUAUAUUUUAUGGGGUCCGAAGCCUUAGCUUCUUUUAAUCUUCGGAAAGUCGUCUCGGGAACAUGGACACUCCUUACAGUCCACUCUUUACCAGACAUGAUCGCUCAGUAGCUCUCCGACAGAAAUACACAACUUCGCGACUCCUGGUACGUUGCAUCAGGCCGGCACUUCGGACCCUUCCGGUAGCUGAUGCAGAGGUAGAGUCAUUGUGUAAGUCCCGGGUCUAUUCAUCUCUGAACAAGACCACCAUUGACGUCUCUGUAUUCCCACUCUCUUUAGUGGUAGUGACAGCACUUUCCUACUCCUUAUCGCUCCGAAAGGUUGUUUACAAACAUCAUCCAUCGCCCCCUUAUUCUUCUCUAGAAUUUCUAGCGAACUAGAAACAAACUUUCGUACCUUACUCUUCAAGUAAGUACGCCUCAUUGUAUUUGAAGGCGAGAUCCGAAGGGAUCAAGUAGUCGGGUUUUAGGGCAGGAAAUAGUUAUUCGUCCCGGUAAUGGUUAUGUACUUUCCUUAAUUGAUUUAAAUAAAAGGGUAUCACCUAUUCGUUCACUAAUUCCAUUUUAUAAUUAUUAUUAUCUAUCUUCCUAAGGUGAUUCCUAACAUGUGACAGGUAGGUCAAGUUUUCGAAUCCAAGUAUCAAUAACACAUUAAGCCGGUGAAUUAUUUCCUUGUACCCUCCUACCUCAGAUGUUUUUAGAUUUAUAUAUUGUCAUAAGACAAAUUCUUUUAUCCGGGCUUUUAAGCCGAUUUCCUAAGUAUCACCAUAUCCCAUGGUAUACUUUACCUUCUUUCUAACAAUGCAUCAAUACAACAUCCACAAGCAAUUCACAUAUGAAUCACAAGCAAACAUUCAGCAUCACUUCAUAAAAUCCACAGUUAUUGUAAACAAGCGAGUAAAUAAUAAUAUGUCUACUACCGCUUUAACGAUUACUUAAUUGUCAUGUACCAAGACAAGGUCUUGUCUAACUCCCCUAACCUGUGACUCAAUGAUUUCUUUUGAAACUCGAGAGCCUGAUCCUUCAUGCACUGCAUCAUGGAUUAUGGUUGGGUUAUAGAUCUAUGAAGCUAAAAAUAUAAACUACUUCAUGUACUAAUUUUAUUUUCUUUUUAUUACCCUUCUACUCUUAGACUUAACCAAUUUUCUUUACUGACCUGAUUCUGUUACUAAACUCAGUCCUUAAGCUCAUAAUCACUUCUAGAUUAUUUAACUUAUUCCUUAAGCCAUUUUGUCAAAAUCACUUAUUCAUUAGCUUACUAACUUAACUUCCUAAUUCAUCAUGCUAGCCUACUGACUUCUGACUUCUGGUCUUUCAUUACUCUAUUCCUAGUAUUCCUAACUCAUAAUCAAGUUCAGAAUCACUUAAUUAAGCUGAUUAAUCUAGCUUAAGUUCAAAUUAAUCCUAAGUUUACUUGCAAAUUAAGAAAUUCACAAACUAGGCUAAAACUAACUUCUGAUACUCUUUUCCUACAGUUUCCAACCUUCUGAGUUCAUCUAAACCAUUAUUAGAAGCAUUUAAGCACUGUAACUACCUCAAUUUACCAGUUUUUGAAUCGGCCGUGAGGUGAAAUUGGGGUUUUUCACCUCAGAGCUUUAUCAUCGAUUCUAUCUAUCCUAAAAGGCUCUACCAUGUUCCAGAAGCAUAAAAUGAUUGAUUUGGCACUCUAACUCGAGGCCAGAAGCUCAACCCGAUAGCUCAUUCGAGCUUGAAAAUUCAAAUAUUGGUUCUGCUAAUUCGUGGUGAUUCGAGGCUCAAAACUAGUCUAAAGCUUCCUAAAAAUGUCCUAACAUGCUUAAGGGUAAGUUUUGGAUCNNNNNNNNNNNNNNNNNNNNNNNNNNNNNNNNNNNNNNNNNNNNNNNNNNNNNNNNNNNNNNNNNNNNNNNNNNNNNNNNNNNNNNNNNNNNNNNNNNNNNNNNNNNNNNNNNNNNNNNNNNNNNNNNNNNNNNNNNNNNNNNNNNNNNNNNNNNNNNNNNNNNNNNNNNNNNNNNNNNNNNNNNNNNNNNNNNNNNNNNNNNNNNNNNNNNNNNNNNNNNNNNNNNNNNNNNNNNNNNNNNNNNNNNNNNNNNNNNNNNNNNNNNNNNNNNNNNNNNNNNNNNNNNNNNNNNNNNNNNNNNNNNNNNNNNNNNNNNNNNNNNNNNNNNNNNNNNNNNNNNNNNNNNNNNNNNNNNNNNNNNNNNNNNNNNNNNNNNNNNNNNNNNNNNNNNNNNNNNNNNNNNNNNNNNNNNNNNNNNNNNNNNNNNNNNNNNNNNNNNNNNNNNNNNNNNNNNNNNNNNNNNNNNNNNNNNNNNNNNNNNNNNNNNNNNNNNNNNNNNNNNNNNNNNNNNNNNNNNNNNNNNNNNNNNNNNNNNNNNNNNNNNNNNNNNNNNNNNNNNNNNNNNNNNNNNNNNNNNNNNNNNNNNNNNNNNNNNNNNNNNNNNNNNNNNNNNNNNNNNNNNNNNNNNNNNNNNNNNNNNNNNNNNNNNNNNNNNNNNNNNNNNNNNNNNNNNNNNNNNNNNNNNNNNNNNNNNNNNNNNNNNNNNNNNNNNNNNNNNNNNNNNNNNNNNNNNNNNNNNNNNNNNNNNNNNNNNNNNNNNNNNNNNNNNNNNNNNNNNNNNNNNNNNNNNNNNNNNNNNNNNNNNNNNNNNNNNNNNNNNNNNNNNNNNNNNNNNNNNNNNNNNNNNNNNNNNNNNNNNNNNNNNNNNNNNNNNNNNNNNNNNNNNNNNNNNNNNNNNNNNNNNNNNNNNNNNNNNNNNNNNNNNNNNNNNNNNNNNNNNNNNNNNNNNNNNNNNNNNNNNNNNNNNNNNNNNNNNNNNNNNNNNNNNNNNNNNNNNNNGAUCUUGCAUCUCUGAGCGCUUCAGCUCAUGGCAUUUCAAAAUGCUGAUGAGUUCUUCUAAACUCAUAUUCUCAACAUCUCUCGUGAGCUCUAUUGAAGUCACCAAAGGCAUCCAACUUUCAGGAAGACACCUGAUGACCCUUAUGACAUGAUCUUUUGUUGUGUAGCUCUUGUUGAGAGGUCGUAUGCCAGCUACAAGCAAUUGAAAUCUGGAGAACAUUUCUUCAAUGGACUCAUUUGGCUCCAUGAUGAAGGAUUCAUACUUUUGGAUCAAAGACAAUGCCUUUGAUUCUUUGACUUUCUUGUUUCCUUCAUGAGACAUCUUAAGAGAAUCAAAAAUGCCUUUAGCAAACUCACGAUCUGUAAUCUUCUGGUACUCCUCAUAGGAAAUAGCACUUAGAAGAAUUGCUCUUGCUUUGUGAUGUUGUGAGUACAGCUUCUUUUGAUCUGCAGUCAUCUCUGACCUUGGGAUCUUCUUGCCAUCUGCAUCAACUGGACGCUCAUAGCCAUCCACAAUAAUAUCCCAGAGAUUUGCAUCGAAACCCAGAAAGAAACUUUCCAGUCUAUCUUUCCAAUAUUCGAACCUUUGACCAUCGAACAUAGGAGGCUUUGCGUUGUAACCAUCUCUUUGAGUUUCACUGGUGGUGGCAGCCAUUGUUUUUCACACCGGCCCGGAUCACUGAACACUGUUAGGUGUGGUAAUCAGAACUUGCGCUCUGAUACCAAUUGAAGGUAUGAAAAACGGUAGAAAGGGGGGGUUUGAAUAACGUUUUCAGAACAAAACUACCACCUUAAAGAUUUUGACAAAUCUUUCGAGAACUUAAGUGCUAAAGAUAAGAGAUAGAAAAGCACACAAGGAUUUUAUCCUGGUUCACUUGAUAAAUCACUCAAGCUACUCCAGUCCACCCGUUAAGGUGAUUUCUUCCUUCUUAGAAUGAAGGCAAUCCACUAAUCAGGUAAGAGUUACAACUGCACUUGAAACCUACAAGUGACUAACAAUUACACUGACUUAGCUCACACUAAGAUUCACUCUCUUAGUCUUCUCUAGGAUCCGAUCAACCUUGAUCUCCUAAAGGAACUAAACAAACUGUUUAUCAAAGAAAUGUUUACAAGAGAUUUGCUUCUAAAAAGCUAAUAGUAAACACAAUGAAUUUCAGAUGAAAGAAAGCUUAGAAUAUUUUGAAUAUCUUGCGUGUGUGUGUUGCUUCUUGUAUUCUGGCCGCUUCUUUCAAUCUUCAGCCUCUAUAUAUACUCCAAGGAUUAGGGUUGAGCGUUGCAUGGGAAAUGCUACCGUUGGAGGGCAGUUCUGGAAAAUCCAGCUUCUGCUGUGGCUGAGAACGUUAGGUAGGUCGUCAGGAAGGUACACUUGCUUUUGUACUUGGAUAGCGACUUGACCUUUUAACCUAGGAGACUUCUGAUCAGGGGAAUACUUCAUAUUGGAACUUGUGAAGCCGGUUGAUCAGAGUCAGAGGGAAAGCACAGAUCCUCUGACCAUUGUAACUUCUGAUUCUGAACUCAGAGGGAAGAACAUGGCCUUCAGAGUUUCUUGCUUCUGGACUUCAGAGUUUCCACUAUUCAGCUUCUGGAUCUUCAGAGUCUUCUACACCAUCAGAACAUCUGAACCUUCAGUGUUUCUCGGCUAUCAGAACUUCUGGAUCUUCAGAGCUUCUAGCGACUGAGUCCUCAUCAGAGUUUGUAUAGCUUCAGAACUUCUGAAGCUUUUCCACUGUUCAUACUGAACAUGGUGAAUGCGAAAGCGUUGCUUGGGUUACCCUUUAUACACAGUGAUUCUGAUUUGUGUGAGAUUGAGUUGAGGUCAGAGCCUGUAAAUAGCACACUCAGAAAAACACGUUAGAGUACCACAAUUGUUCAUAUCAAAAGGUUAACUUGUAAUCAUCAAAACAUAGAGUUGUACUACUAGAUCAAAACUUGAUCUUACAGUUAAUUCCAAAAAUCUUCAGAGAAAUGUUAGAACUUCUCUUUUUCCAUAUAACACAAUCGUUUCGAGGCGAAACUCUAGGAUCUACGAACGUCCGAUUCCAAUCAUCGGAAGUUUGCCGAAACCGAAUCCCUGGUAUUUCAAAACCCUAGAAUCACCCGACUACGGGGACUUUAUCUAUUCAGAGCUUCAAAUGAAUAUUCUACACGCGUACACCCAUUUCUCUUGAUGAUUUCAAUCUUUCUUCCGAAGGAAGUUUUCUAUUCCGACAUUCGAUGCAAAAAGCAACUUAUCGGGUAAAAUAGUUUUAUACCGACUAUGCAUUAGUUGCCAAAAAUACAAGGAGACCUCUUUAUAGUUUUGGAAUUCUUUUGCCAAAACAUAUCUAUUAAUUCACGGAGAAUGACGCCGGAAAAAUCAGAUUCGCGAAACUUUCAUUUUCCCGCGAAUUUCCAACCUUUAUAUAUAGCAAAGAAAGGAAGAAAAACUCAAAUUUUCCUCCAUUUUCUCUCUCAAAGCCGCGAGUUCACCAAGGAAGAAGGAGAAGAAGAUUUUGUUCAAUCCUUGCUUGAUCGUUGAUUAAUCAGUUGCUGCUUCAAGGUUUCGAGGUAUAGUCGCUAAUUCUUACCUCUGAUCGCUUUUUCCAUAGCUUUUCUGUAGAGUUUUCUGAGUGGAUAGUUUAUGGGUUUUUGCAAAACUAUCCUGAAUCUUUCAUUUCUGAUUCUAAACCUCUUAUAUAUGUGCCCAAGAUCACUUCUGCCGGAUUAGAUUUUCCGUUAUGUCGCCGGAAUUCCGCCGGAAUCAAUUUUAGCCUUAAAUACCCAUUUUUGGAGUUUUUGGGUAAAGCUUCAACCUUUAGGCUGAAAACUAUCGCCUUAGCUUAGUGCUAGUAGGAUUAGUUGUCAUAAACAUCGUUGGUGACGUCCCUGCAAAAUUUUAUUUUUGGGAUUUCAGUUUUGAAAAUCCUAAGUUAAAAAUCAUGACCAAAAUACCCCUGCGACAAUUUUUGAUCCGAUAAUUUUUCCGAGUUCAGAAUACCCUUAGUUACGGCUUAUGAAAGCAUAGGAACCAAGUUUGAUCGAAGAAAAAUCGAGCCCCAUAAUUACCUAAAGUGGCCGAGCCCUAUAGGGGAGGUGGAGGAAAAUUUCCUUUUCCGAAAACUUGUCUUUCGCGCUAGAUUAUCGUACCUUAGAGUAUAGAUUACUUCGAGUAACCUUAGUAAGUAUCGAUAGCUUAGUUUUUGAUAGAUUCUGAUAGUAUUUCUGUGACUUUGCUUUAAAGGAACUUUUGAGGAAUUUCCUGAGGAGCAACGCUUUGCUUGUGAGGAAGAGUUAGAAGAUAAUUCUGGAGAACCUUCAGGUGAGGGCUUCUCACUGAAUCUCUAGUUAAUGCUUAGGGUCGAUGUUUCGACAUUGUUUACUGUUUAUGCACUGGAAUUGUGUGUGAUUGGAAAAUGUUUUCUGAGGCUUCGGCUGACAAUGUAGAUGAUGCAUCUACUGAAUGUUUUUGAUGAGUGAAUGACAUGCUAAGUGCUAAUUGGGUAAUUUAGGAUGUGUGGUGCAUGCCUUUUAUGCUAGGUGCUAUGUGGUUAUUGCUUAAGAUAUUGACAUAUGACAUGUUGAUUGAUUAUGAUGAGUUAAUUUUGCUUUUGCACUAUAAUCUGAGUUUCUGAACGGUGAGAAAAGCGGGCAGGUCAUGCCGAUUUUAUUUUGAGAGUUUUGAGAAAGCUUGAAAGGACGAAUGAGAUUCGGGCCUUGUUGUGGUGUUGUAUGGAUCGAGACAUUCUCUGGAGUCAUUUGGGGAUUACGAGAUCCCGAGAACUUAUAGGAUUCGCGAUAAGACUAAAAGGAUAAUUAUUUUGUAAAGAAAACUCAUAAGACAUUAAACAACCUCUAAAUCUUUAAGUAAUGGUAAUAAUCUCGGAAGGAAGCUUUGGAUGCAAAUCAAAGUUUUGGAAAACGAGAAGUGUCGUCGGAUCCCAGCAUUGAGAAAGUUGAGGGGCUUCGAGUAUGUAGAUGUUGUGGUGCUGUUGGAGCAGCGGUUGUUGUUGUGCUGUUGGAGCAGCUAUUGUGGUUGUGCUGUUGGAGCAGCUAUGUUGUUGGGUGUAUCUUCGACUUUGCGGCGCGAAUCCGUAUGUCCAAACCCGACGGGUUGGGCCGAUUCGGCAAUAAUUGUUGACACGCGCGAAUCCGUAUAUUCAAUCCGAUGGAUUGGAUCGAUUCGGCGGUAGUCACUCAGGCAUGCGUGAAUCCGUAUGUUCAAUCCGAGGGAUUGGAUCGAUUCAGCGAUAACCUUUCGACUCGCGUGAAUCCGUAUGUUCAAUCCGAGGGAUUGGAUCGAUUCAGCGACAACUUUUCGACACGCGCGAAUCCGUAUAUUCAAUCCGAUGGAUUGGAUCGAUUCGGCGGUAGUCACUCAGGCACGCGUGAGUCCGUAUGUUCAAUCAGAGGGAUUGGAUCGAUUCAGCGAUUGCCAUUUUACCUCGCGUGAAUCUGUAUGUUCAAUCCGAGGGAUUGGAUCGAUUCAGCGAUAACCUUUCGACUCGCGCGGAUCCGUAUGUUCAAUCCGAUGGAUUGGAUCGAUUCGGCGAUAGUCAUUGGACACGCGCAAUGUCCGUAUGUUCGACUCUUUUGAGUGAACCGACUUGGCGUUGUCAUUUGUUGCGUGUGCGAGUCCGUAUGUUCAUCCCGAGGGGUUGGAUCGACUCGACAUGCCUAAUUGUGGGAGUUGCGUGUGCGAGUCCGUAUGUUCAACCCAAGGGGUUGGAUCGACUUGACAUGCCUAAGUGUUGGGCUAUCCUGGGGAUAAGUCCGGGAAACCGGUAGUUUCCGAGUAUGUGAUACUCUUUGCUUGUUGAGCAGUUGUGACCAUCGGAUUGAGAUGAGUCGGAUGAUCCGGAGAUCAUCAUGAGUUACUAUGUUGAUGUGAAGAAGUGUCUUUUGUCGCAGAAUCGACUUUACCUUAGGGUAAGCUUUUAGAGACUUUAAUUUACCUAGAACACGUGGCGACGUGUCGAGUGAGAGUCGGAGACGUUGUUUGACUAAUCAUCCUGCAUUCAUGCAUACUGAUUUAGUUGGCGAGUGUGAUUGUUAUUUGUUAAUCCUAUUUGGAACAUGUUAAUUGUUAUUAUUGCUGUUAAGUUCAUUAUGGAAUAUGCAACCCUAGGAUGUUAUCCCUAGCUAUAAGCCUAAGUGGCUAUUCUCUUAUCUAUAUCUAUUGGUGCUAUUAUUUAUGUAAUUCUUUGGAGUUGACCCUCGCGUCUUCUGUGUGUGCUUUGGCGGACAAACGUCCUUUGUCAGAUGUCUUUGGCGGACUGGUUCACGACGGUUCACCCUUCGGGGCAAACUAGAGUUGGGAUGCUGGAACAGGAGCGCAUCGCGAUAGCGAGCGGAGGACGGAUGGUGUACAUAGACUAGGUCGUUCUGGAUUUCGAAUUCGGACGACGAUCAUGCUAGCAUGUAGGUUUUAGUGCUGGUGUGAGCUCCUCGAGAUGGGAUUAGGGUAGGAGUAGAGUCUUAGCUCUGAACAUCAUUUGUUUCAUUCGGGACAGGGUAGUUUCCCACCUAUAGCUUUUUGUGUGGUUUCGUUACGGGAAUCACAGAGAGUUGGUUGGACUUAGGAAGUCUUGUUUCAGGCCGAUGGGCCAGCUUAUUCUCAUUUUGAGGGAUAGUGUUGCGGACACUUAACCUUUUCUUUUGGUUUGUACUUUUGCCUACGGGCGCUACUCUUCUAUUACCCGUCACUGGAGGUUCACUCGUGACGAGGUUGCUACUUACAGCGGGGGCUGUUUAUAUAUUGUAUAUUAGUUCUAUUGCUUUUCGCUUUUGGGUUUUAUUUAUUUCAGUCUUGUCUUAGUUAUAAUCGGAAAAAAAAAUAUAUUCACGUUUUUCCGCAUUAAGUUUACUUUUGGUUACUAAAGUGACGCCACCGAAAUCGGGGUGUUACAUUGUGGUAUCAGAGCACGGUCGAGUCUUUCGGGAGUUGUUGGGGAAUAGGUCUUCUGUGCUAGGUUGUGUGACUCUGCAAAGAGUGAAAAAUUGAAUGUCUGCAAGCGAUUUUUCGCUUAAAAAUUGAUUGUAGUUCUUGCUUAAUCAUAUUGUAUAGUUAUGGAAAUGCUAUCUUAUGAUGAGUACUAACUGUUUGUCUAACUAAACAGAGAACAUGGUGAACAUGAAUCAACUCGCUGGGGCAAUGACUGUUGUGGCCCAGGCAAUGACAAAUCAAACCGUGGAGAACGCUCAGUGGCGUGCUGACAAGGCUGAACGUGAGCGACAUAAGCGUGAGAGGGAGUUAGCCCUAAACCAGAACAGGGGACUGAAUGAUUUUAGAAGGCAGGAUCCACCCAAGUUCACGGGCGGGACUGACCCAGACAAUGCGGAUCUAUGGAUCCAAGAGAUUGAGAAGAUUUUCGAAGUACUGCAGACUGCUGAAGGGGCUAAGGUGGGCCUGGCAACUUAUCUGCUGCUGGGCGAUGCUGAGUACUGGUGGAAGGGUACCAGAGGAAUUAUGGAAGCUAACGAUGAGGAAGUGAAUUGGAACUCCUUUCGAACUGCAUUCUUGGAAAAGUAUUUUCCAACUAGUGCUCGGGACGAGCGGGAGGCACAGUUUCUGACACUCCGACAAGGGAGCAUGUCUGUACCUGAAUUUGCUUCUAAAUUGGAGUCUUUGGCCAAACUACUUCCAAUUUUUCACCGACCAUGUCGAUGAGCGCUACAUGUGUAAGCGUUUCGUCAAUGGACUGAGGCCAGAUAUCGAGGACUCUGUGAGGCCAUUGGGAAUUAUGCGUUUCCAAGCUUUGGUUGAGAAGGCAACAGAAGUUGAACUUAUGAAGAACAAGAGGAUGAGUAGAACAGGCACUGGGGGACCAAUGAGGUCGAACUUUCAAAAUAAUCAUGGGAUAGAGAGAUUCCGACAGAAGAAGCCGUAUCAACGUCCUGUGGCGGAAGGUUUUACCUCGGGGCAGUAUAAGCCCAUAAAUGCUACCGGAGGAACAGGAAACAAGACUUCGGGUCAAGGAGUGACGUGUUACAGGUGCAAGAAGGUGGGGCACUACACUAACAAGUGUCCAGACGGAAGACCUCUAUGUUUCAACUGCAACCGUCCGGGGCAUCAAGCCAAGGAUUGCAAUGUAACCAAGGUUGAGCCAUCUGUGCAUACGGUGAGGGGAAGACGUUCUACUGCACGGGGAAGAGUCCAUGUCUUGUGCGGCGAGGGAGCUGAUGGAUUAGUCAGAGGAGAGCGCAAGAACGAUGGUAACUUUCUAACUAUUCUUUCUCAUUCUAGUAUGGUAUACUCUUCGUUACCCCCGUAGCGUGUGCAACACGUCUGAACUUGCUUUUACCGCUAAGCGUUGACCUUAUAGUUAUUACACCUACAAAAGUUUAUUUGACUGCUACUCGUGUUUCCACUAUAGAAGUUAUACGAGGUUUAGAAUGACACGCUAAGCUUAGAAAGUAGUCUUCUACCGAUGUGUUUAAAAGGAAGCUAGAAGCUGAAGAAUGAAUCUCAUAGAGACUUUUUUAUGGAUAGUAUACGUAUGAUGUCGAGGGCGUGUAGUUCCGUAGCGGAAUCGUUGAGGAUGUGAGGUCAGGAUAAUUGUGACUAUUGGAUGAUAGGAACUCAUUGACUGUUCCAGUGGGUUUUUCUAAAUUUCACCUUCGAUGUAUUAGGCUUGAUCAACUUAAUAUUGAGGGGGUGAUAUUCGGAAUCAGGGCUGGCUAUGGACUUUGAUAGAAGGAUUGGUAAGAUUAACUUGAUUUGAUCGAGGAUUAGUCGGAUUUGGGAGGAAAGUUCGUGUUAAGUAAUUGAUUUUCUUUGGGAAGGAGUUGUCGUUGUAAGAGAUGAAUAUUCUUUUAGGAAAUGUUGGAGAGCUACAGAGCAUCAGAGAUCCAAACUUGGAAAAGGUUUAGGUUUUAAGUCUAUUAAUUCUGGUCAUAAGUGUAUAGGACUUGAAGUUGUCACAAUUUGAUUGGGAGAUUAAGAAGUUUAUCGACAAGAUGGUAAUCAAGUUACAAGAAGGAAAGUGUUUGUAUUAAGAUGAACACUUGAGGUUGUCAUAUUUGGACAAGUUGCUUAAAGUCUAAGAGUGAAUGAAACUCGUUAUGGAUUUCGGUGAUACAAGCUAGAGAUUAGCGAGUGAAUUUUUCUAAGUGGAAUGAGAAUCUUAGGGUAAAGAUUGACUUCAGAAGCUGGAGAUCAUAUUCGAGUAAGAUUUUUAGUGGUGUUAUCAUUGAUGAUUGUAGUUAAACCUCGGCAAGUUGAAAGAUGUUAUGUCUGUUGAGACGCCGUUGGUCAACAUUGGGACUAGAAUAGUGAAACAAUCGAAGGGAAAGCAGAGUGCUUUAGUAAGAGUUAUUUGGAACAAAGACACAGACGAUGUCAUAUGGGAGUUAGAGGAAAGGAUCAAGAACAAUAGUCAGAGCUUUUACUGAACCCUAAGUUUCGAGGACGAAACUUUCUUUUUGGAGGGUAGUAAUGUAAGACCCAAGUUUUUAAGCUUAGAAUAAGUGGAAGAGAUUUCCAUUUACGAUUAGGCUUGAUGUAUCGUGAAAGGAAACCUGAACAAGAGUUUACCAAAUGAAAUAAAUUUAUGAAGGAGAAAGUUUAGGAAAAGCCAAAGGAUCGUAUCGAAGUCGAUAAAAGUUAUAGCACGAUCGUUAUACGCUUAAACCUAGGUCAGAAACCCUAGUAUAUAGCUAAUUUUCACUUUUAGGCACGAUGGCAGUUAAUUCCAAAAAUCUUCAGAGAAAUGUUAGAACUUCUCUUUUUCCAUAUAACACAAUCGUUUCGAGGCGAAACUCUAGGAUCUACGAACGUCCGAUUCCAAUCAUCGGAAGUUUGCCGAAACCGAAUCCCUGGUAUUUCAAAACCCUAGAAUCACCCGACUACGGGGACUUUAUCUAUUCAGAGCUUCAAAUGAAUAUUCUACACGCGUACACCCAUUUCUCUUGAUGAUUUCAAUCUUUCUUCCGAAGGAAGUUUUCUAUUCCGACAUUCGAUGCAAAAAGCAACUUAUCGGGUAAAAUAGUUUUAUACCGACUAUGCAUUAGUUGCCAAAAAUACAAGGAGACCUCUUUAUAGUUUUGGAAUUCUUUUGCCAAAACAUAUCUAUUAAUUCACGGAGAAUGACGCCGGAAAAAUCAGAUUCGCGAAACUUUCAUUUUCCCGCGAAUUUCCAACCUUUAUAUAUAGCAAAGAAAGGAAGAAAAACUCAAAUUUUCCUCCAUUUUCUCUCUCAAAGCCGCGAGUUCACCAAGGAAGAAGGAGAAGAAGAUUUUGUUCAAUCCUUGCUUGAUCGUUGAUUAAUCAGUUGCUGCUUCAAGGUUUCGAGGUAUAGUCGCUAAUCCUUACCUCUGAUCGCUUUUUCCAUAGCUUUUCUGUAGAGUUUUCUGAGUGGAUAGUUUAUGGGUUUUUGCAAAACUAUCCUGAAUCUUUCAUUUCUGAUUCUAAACCUCUUAUAUAUGUGCCCAAGAUCACUUCUGCCGGAUUAGAUUUUCCGUUAUGUCGCCGGAAUUCCGCCGGAAUCAAUUUUAGCCUUAAAUACCCAUUUUUGGAGUUUUUGGGUAAAGCUUCAACCUUUAGGCUGAAAACUAUCGCCUUAGCUUAGUGCUAGUAGGAUUAGUUGUCAUAAACGUCGUUGGUGACGUCCCUGCAAAAUUUUAUUUUUGGGAUUUCAGUUUUGAAAAUCCUAAGUUAAAAAUCAUGACCAAAAUACCAUUGCGACAAUUUUUGAUCCGAUAAUUUUUCCGAGUUCAGAAUACCCUUAGUUACGGCUUAUGAAAGCAUAGGAACCAAGUUUGAUCGAAGAAAAAUCGAGCCCCAUAAUUACCUAAAGUGGCCGAGCCCUAUAGGGGAGGUGGAGGAAAAUUUCCUUUUCCGAAAACUUGUCUUUCGCGCUAGAUUAUCGUACCUUAGAGUAUAGAUUACUUCGAGUAACCUUAGUAAGUAUCGAUAGCUUAGUUUUUGAUAGAUUCUGAUAGUAUUUCUGUGACUUUGCUUUAAAGGAACUUUUGAGGAAUUUCCUGAGGAGCAACGCUUUGCUUGUGAGGAAGAGUUAGAAGAUAAUUCUGGAGAACCUUCAGGUGAGGGCUUCUCACUGAAUCUCUAGUUAAUGCUUAGGGUCGAUGUUUCGACAUUGUUUACUGUUUAUGCACUGGAAUUGUGUGUGAUUGGAAAAUGUUUUCUGAGGCUUCGGCUGACAAUGUAGAUGAUGCAUCUACUGAAUGUUUUUGAUGAGUGAAUGACAUGCUAAGUGCUAAUUGGGUAAUUUAGGAUGUGUGGUGCAUGCCUUAUAUGCUAGGUGCUAUGUGGUUAUUGCUUAAGAUAUUGACAUAUGACAUGUUGAUUGAUUAUGAUGAGUUAAUUUUGCUUUUGCACUAUAAUCUGAGUUUCUGAACGGUGAGAAAAGCGGGCAGGUCAUGCCGAUUUUAUUUUGAGAGUUUUGAGAAAGCUUGAAAGGACGAAUGAGAUUCGGGCCUUGUUGUGGUGUUGUAUGGAUCGAGACAUUCUCUGGAGUCAUUUGGGGAUUAGGAGAUCCCGAGAACUUAUAGGAUUCGCGAUAAGACUAAAAGGAUAAUUAUUUUGUAAAGAAAACUCAUAAGACAUUAAACAACCUCUAAAUCUUUAAGUAAUGGUAAUAAUCUCGGAAGGAAGCUUUGGAUGCAAAUCAUAGUUUUGGAAAACGAGAAGUGUCGUCGGAUCCCAGCAUUGAGAAAGUUGAGGGGCUUCGAGUAUGUAGAUGUUGUGGUGCUGUUGGAGCAGCGGUUGUUGUUGUGCUGUUGGAGCAUCUAUUGUGGUUGUGCUGUUGGAGCAGCUAUGUUGUUGGGUGUAUCUUCGACUUUGCGGCGCGAAUCCGUAUGUCCAAACCCGACGGGUUGGGCCGAUUCGGCAAUAAUUGUUGACACGCGCGAAUCCGUAUAUUCAAUCCGAUGGAUUGGAUCGAUUCGGCGGUAGUCACUCAGGCACGCGUGAAUCCGUAUGUUCAAUCCGAGGGAUUGGAUCGAUUCAGCGAUAACCUUUCGACUCGCGUGAAUCCGUAUGUUCAAUCCGAGGGAUUGGAUCGAUUCAGCGACAACUUUUCGACACGCGCGAAUCCGUAUAUUCAAUCCGAUGGAUUGGAUCGAUUCGGCGGUAGUCACUCAGGCACGCGUGAGUCCGUAUGUUCAAUCAGAGGGAUUGGAUCGAUUCAGCGAUUGCCAUUUUACCUCGCGUGAAUCCGUAUGUUCAAUCCGAGGGAUUGGAUCGAUUCAGCGAUAACCUUUCGACUCGCGCGGAUCCGUAUGUUCAAUCCGAUGGAUUGGAUCGAUUCGGCGAUAGUCAUUGGACACGCGCAAUGUCCGUAUGUUCGACUCUUUUGAGUGAACCGACUUGGCGUUGUCAUUUGUUGCGUGUGCGAGUCCGUAUGUUCAUCCCGAGGGGUUGGAUCGACUCGACAUGCCUAAUUGUGGGAGUUGCGUGUGCGAGUCCGUAUGUUCAACCCAAGGGGUUGGAUCGACUUGACAUGCCUAAGUGUUGGGUUAUCCUGGGGAUAAGUCCGGGAAACCGGUAGUUUCCGAGUAUGUGAUACUCUUUGCUUGUUGAGCAGUUGUGACCAUCGGAUUGAGAUGAGUCGGAUGAUCCGGAGAUCAUCAUGAGUUACUAUGUUGAUGUGAAGAAGUGUCUUUUGUCGCAGAAUCGACUUUACCUUAGGGUAAGCUUUUAGAGACUUUAAUUUACCUAGAACACGUGGCGACGUGUCGAGUGAGAGUCGGAGACGUUGUUUGACUAAUCAUCCUGCAUUCAUGCAUACUGAUUUAGUUGGCGAGUGUGAUUGUUAUUUGUUAAUCCUAUUUGGAACAUGUUAAUUGUUAUUAUUGCUGUUAAGUUCAUUAUGGAAUAUGCAACCCUAGGAUGUUAUCCCUAGCUAUAAGCCUAAGUGGCUAUUCUCUUAUCUAUAUCUAUUGGUGCUAUUAUUUAUGUAAUUCUUUGGAGUUGACCCUCGCGUCUUCUGUGUGUGCUUUGGCGGACAAACGCCCUUUGUCAGAUGUCUUUGGCGGACUGGUUCACGACGGUUCACCCUUCGGGGGAAACUAGAGUUGGGAUGCUGGAACAGGAGCGCAUCGCGAUAGCGAGCGGAGGACGGAUGGUGUACAUAGACUAGGUCGUUCUGGAUUUCGAAUUCGGACGACGAUCAUGCUAGCAUGUAGGUUUUAGUGCUGGUGUGAGCUCCUCGAGAUGGGAUUAGGGUAGGAGCAGAGUCUUAGCUCUGAAUAUCAUUUGUUUCAUUCGGGACAGGGUAGUUUCCCACCUAUAGCUUUUUGUGUGGUUUCGUUACGGGAAUCACAGAGAGUUGGUUGGACUUAGGAAGUCUUGUUUCAGGCCGAUGGGCCAGCUUAUUCUCAUUUUGAGGGAUAGUGUUGCGGACACUUAACCUUUUCUUUUGGUUUGUACUUUUGCCUACGGGCGCUACUCUUCUAUUACCCGUCACUGGAGGUUCACUCGUGACGAGGUUGCUUCUUACAGCGGGGGCUGUUUAUAUAUUGUAUAUUAGUUCUAUUGCUUUUCGCUUUUGGGUUUUAUUUAUUUCAGUCUUGUCUUAGUUAUAAUCGAAAAAAAAAUAUAUUCACGUUUUUCCGCAUUAAGUUUACUUUUGGUUACUAAAGUGACGCCACCGAAAUCGGGGUGUUACACCUUUAGACCCAGGCGAUCAAAUGCAUCGCCAUAAAUAAUGUUAGUCGAGGAUCCCUGGUCUUAAAACACCUUCCUUGUUUUGUAAUUGUUGACUCUGAUUGUUACCACGAUCGGAUCAUUGUCAUGUGGGAUUACAUGAGCGAAAUCUUGAGGAGUGAAAGUGAUUGGAGAGUGGUUCAACCAACACUCGCCCUCAUACGCCUCAUGUACUGAGUUUACCGCCGCCACAUACCUCUUUCUGGCCUUGCUAGAAAUCACACCACCUCCAAAUCCUCCCGCGAUUGACGCGCAUUCCCCUAUAGGAUCGCCCAACUCUUCCACCACCUCCUUACCUUUUCCUUUAUCAGCCUGAGUUACCUUGGUGGAUUCUUGUGCGGCAGCAUCUUUUACAAAAUUUGUCAAAUGUCCCGCCUUAAUCAACCGGUCGAUCUCCCGCCGCAAAGUCCAACAGUUAUCAGUUGUGUGCCCUAAAGCUUUGUGGAAUUCACACCAUCUGUUUGUAUCAACAUUAGAUGGUGGUCGCCGAGGUGGUGGCGGAUAUUGCACAACAUUUGUCUGACCCACAGCCCUCAAUAUUGUGCUCAAGGGUGCAUUCAGUUUGGUGAGUGGAGCUGCAUUUGGCGAGGCAGCUGGCUAAGUAGCCUGAUUUGGGGAAGCUCCUUGGGUAUUUCUAUGCCAAGUGAUGCUUUGGAAUCCCGGUUUUGAGUUUUGAUAUGGGCCAGGUCUUUGUGGGAGAGGUGUCUGAGCUAGCCUUGCAUCCUUUCCAGCCUUAGGUUUUUCCUGCGGAGCUGCGCCUGGCUGGGUAUCUUUUCUCCCAUCUUCUCUUUCUUUCUUUUUCUGAUCAUCUUGCUCUAUCAAAAUAAAUUCAUGAACUCUGGCACGAAGAUCCAUCAUAUCACGUGUUGGUCGCCUCGUCAAGACCCGGUUCAAAUCCCCCGCCCGGAGUCCAUUUUUAAAAGACGCCAGACAUACAUCAGGGCUAUCUUCCUCCAAUUGUACAACCAUCUUGCUGAAUCGCGUCAUGUUUGUUUUAAGCUUCUCUCCUGGUUGUUGACGUAUACUGAUGAGAUCAAACAUAGUUGCUUUUGUGGUUUUGUUGGUUGAGAAUUGAGUUAAGAACUUAGUAGAUAAGUCAGUGAAAUUGUCAAUUGAGAAAGGUGGCUGUCUAAUAAACCACUGCAUUGCCUGGUUAUUGUCUCGAUCGCCGCCGCAUCCGCCGUGACGACCACCACCUCUACGGCGAUAAUCAUGACGACCAGCACCACACGAACGAGUCUCCUGAGAUGCAAUAAAGUAACACAAGAAAGGGGGGGUUUGAAUUGUGUUCUUGAAAAUUACUUUUUAAACUUUGUUUUAUGAAAAGAAUAUUAGUUCUUAGGCAAAACGUUUAAGAGUGACUUUUCACAAACUGUUUCGUGCAGCGGAAGUAAAACAGUAAACAGAACAGAACGAUCAGCACACAGAGAUUUAUACUGGUUCACCCUAAACGAUUGGGCUACGUCCAGUACUUGGCCACCACCAAGAUUUUCACUAGCAAGUAUCAAGGACUUCUCCAAUACAAGUAUUAGCCAGGACUUCUCCAAGUAUUAUCACGGACUUCUCCAAGUAUUCUACAGGACUCCUCCUAUAAGUAUUGUACAGGACAUCUCCUAAAUCUUACAAAGAUUUAUUACACUCUACAAGGUUUCUCUUCUUUCAAGAGUGAAGGUAGAGACUUUAUGGCACUGGAACUCAAAGUGUUUGGAUUCAGAUUUUACUAUUGAGAUCACUUCAGAGUUACUUACAAAAGUGAGAAGAGAAUAAAAGAUAUGACUCUUUUAAGGUACGAGGUUCCUCUCUUUCACUUGGCAGAAUUUAUGGCUUGUGUUUGACACUUGGGAAUAUCUGCUUUAGCUUUGAAUGCUGUUGAGAAGUUUGAAAUGAAUGCUUGAAUGCUUGGAUUCUCAGAGUUAAUUCCUCCUUCUUCAGAUCUUCAAGAGUGGCUUAAAUACUCGCUUGCUAGUGUUGUAGUCGUUGUGAGAUUAUUUCCAACCGUUGAGAUAGCCGUUGUAAGGUGAGAUCGGACCGUUGAUUCAAAAGCUUGGUUGGUGGCUUCAUUAAAUGUUACUUCUGAAGCAAGUCUAUCCUUUAGCUCAAAAGGUGAUGUUUGUCAGCUAGUAGGUGGUGAUAGACUUUGGGCUACUUUUCAGAUAAGAGACAAUUUGGCAAUUUGAUGUUGACGGCUUGUCAUUUUUCCUCGUUGGUCAGCGUGCCUUUUGCUAAAGCAAGCUUGUCUUCAACUGAUUCAACUUGAACAAGAUUCGAAUUAUUGUCAUUAGAUAUGAAUGUGGGACAAUUGCUUGAAAUCAAAUUGAUUUUUUGGCGCUCGAAUUAUUGCUUGGCAAAUCUGACUAGUAAUGUGUCAUUAAACGGUCAGAUGGUACGAUAGUCACAAAAUCCUUCUUGGUAAAUGAUAGAACGUUGUAGCCUAUUUCAUAUUGCAAUCUUCUCCUGAAAUAAAAGAUAUUGUUAGUGAAUGAAUUUUAAAUAAGCCUUCUAUUUAUAAAAUUGUUAUGAUCAAAAUAAGAUUUUAAAAACGUUAUGAUGCGUUUGUGUAAGAUCAAGUUUUGAUCUAGUAGUACAACUCUAUGUUUUGAUGAUUACAAGUUAACCUUUUGAUAUGAACAAUUGUGGUACUCUAACGUGUUUUUCUGAGUGUGCUAUUUACAGGCUCUGACCCUGACUCAAUUUCACACAAAUCAGAAGCACUGUGUAUAAAGGGUAACCCAAGCAACGCUUUCGCAUUCACCAUGUUCAGUAUGAACAGUGGAAAAGCUUCAGAAGAUCUGAAGCUAUACAAACUCUGAUGUGGACUCAGUCGCUAGAAGCUCUGAUGAUCCAGAAGUUCUGACAACCAAGAAACACUGAAGGUUCAGAUGUUCCGAUGGUGUAGAAGACUCUGAAGAUCCAGAAGCUGAAUAGUAGAAACUCUGAAGUCCAGAAGCAAGAAACUCUGAAGGCCAUGUUCUUCCCUCUGAGUUCAGAAUCAGAAGAUACAAUGGUCAGAGGAUCUGUGCUAUCCCUCUGACUCUGAUCAACCGGCUUCACAAGUUCCAAUACGAAGCAUUCCUCUGAUCAGAAGUCUCCUAGGUUAAAAGGUCAAGUCGCUAUCCAAGUACAAAAGCAAGUGUACCUUCCUGACGACUUACCUAACGUUCUCAGCCACAGCAGAAGCUGGAUUUUCCAGAACUGCCCUCCAACGGUAGCAUUUCCCAUGCAACGCUCAACCCUAAUCCUUGGAGUAUAUAUAGAGGCUGAAGAUUGAAAGAAGCGGCUAGAGAAGUGAAGUGAAUACAAGAAGCAACACACGCGCAAGAUAUUCAAAAUAUUCUAAGCUUUCUUUCAUCUUGUAAUUUAUUUAGUUUACACUCAGCUUAUUCAGAAGCAAACCUUUGUAAACACCAACCUCAAACAGUUGUUUGAUUUUCCUUAAGGGACCGGGUAGGUCAGUAUCCUUAAGAAGACUAAGAGAGUGAAUCUUAGUGGUGAUUCCUUUAGGAGAUCAAGGUUGAUCAGAUCCUAGAGAAGACUAAGAGAGUGAAUCUUAGUGUGAGCUAAGUCAGUGUAAUUGUUAGUCACUUGUAGGUUUCAAGUGCAGUUGUAACUCUUACCUGAUUAGUGGAUUGCCUUCAUUCUAAGAAGGAAGAAAUCACCUUAACG